GUCUUUAUACAACAAAUAAAUAAUUAUUUAAAUAAAUUAUUAAUAUAUAUCCGACUAUUCUUGUCGGAAGAUUAAUAAUUAAAUUAAAUAAAUAUAUCACUAAAAAUAUAGAAUCAAACCUAUAACCUUACAACCCCUCUCUCUAAAAAACUAGGGUUCACAAUUUCAGAGCCGGUAACGGUUUGAAGGCAAUGGCGACAACUACUUGGUUGCGACGGAGAUGGCGAUGGAGACUAGGUGGUGACGAUAACGGCGAGUUGGUGGAGGAUUAUUGCAAUUUGAUUUAUUUUCGUCUUAAUUUUGUUAUCUGCUUAAUUUCUCUAUCUGGUUUGUCUUAUAUCUGUGAUUUGUGAACUGGGAUGGCAUCAAAAUUUAGGAAUUUGAUGGUUUAGGGAUAAAUGUAUCAUUCAGUUAUGCUCUAUGUAAAUGUGAUUUUCGUCCUAGAUUUAUUAAUUGCUUGAUUUCUCUAUUUAGGUCAUCUUGUAUUUUUGAUUUGCGAUUUGGUUUGGAGUUAAAUUUUAGGAAUUUGAUGGGUUUAGCCUUAUUCAGUUCUUCUAUUUUGAUCAAUUUUUUCUUAUAUACAACUGAUUUUCAUCCUAGUUGUGAUAUUUCCUUGAUUUCUAUAUUUGGAUACCCUUUUAUCUGUGAGCUUUGCUUGUUGGGUUUGACAUCAAACUUUACAGUUUUCCACAUAGUUUCAUUUUGUGCUCGAUUUCUCUACUCAUCCUCCUCUUGUAUCUGAGCUUUACUUAUUGGAUUGAUGCCGAACUUCAACUUUUGUCCAAUUUCUCAAUCUGUGGACUGAUUUCUUGUAUCCACAACCAUUGUGGUGGUGCUAAGUGACAAAUUUUCUGCAUCUUUUCUGAUUUUAACUAAAAGGGAAGUGAUUCUGCUAGUUUCUACUUCUGUCAAGUUGUUUAUUGAAGUGAGUUGUUGUGCAAUAGCAAGAUUUCUAUUAUCCAUCCUGGUUUCUGCAUUAUUGUCCUUUUCCUCCUUAUUUAUUUCUUUAUUCUUACUGCUAUUGUUCUAUAUUAUUAUUCCUAUGUGAUGUUGUACAGUUGUUCACAAAACAAAUCACCACUCUUUGGAUAUAUUCAUGCUACAAGAGCAAACACAUUGUGUGCUAGAAAGUAAAAUACGCCGACAGAAAUUAGCAUUAAGUAACUUGAUCACUUUUGAAUGGUCAUAAUGGAAAUUAGCAUUAAGUAACUUGAUCACUUUUGAAUAGUAGUAACUGAAAUUCAAACAAGAGAAUUAUCACAUUAGCAGAGACAAAACAAAUGUAAUUGAUACGGAAGUUUAGUCGUUUGGACAAGCACCACGACAAGGUUUAAUUGGUGGGAGUUAUAAUGUGCUAGCUAUUUUCUCUUCAAGCCUCUAGCUUUCUUGUAGGUUUAGUGAUUUCCCUUUACUUAGGCGUUGUGAAUUAAAGUAUCUUCCAUAUUCAGAUACAUUGGUAAUAAAAAAUCCAACAUAUGUUUUAUCAACUCUCUAAUCACUAAAAUAGUUUUUAUAUUUAGUCAUUAUGGUUUUUUUUCUCUAUUAGUCCAUUUUCCCUUAGCUUUCUCCAUAGUGGUAGUGACAGCAGUGACCUUCAUCUAACCACAACAUAGCUAGUGUAGCCCCCAAAUGUGUCUAGAAUGGCUGGUGUUACACAUCUAUACCCCUACGGCCUACCUUGUGGAGAUAGAGAAGUUGUUUUUGAUGGACCCUCGGCUAAGUGGCCCAACCAACCAUCUCUAAAUUUCACAAGGUUAGUUAACUAUUCUACUCUUCUUAUUCUUUGGAUAUCUCAAGUUACUUUUUUAGUUCAUGCCAAACAAUUUUCCACCUUAAAACAAGAACUUGAUCAAAAAUAUUACUUAUACUCCAUACAAAAAGUUGCUUGAGAAUUAUAGAUGAUUACGUCCAGUUAAAAAAAAAUUCUUGUUGUACUCUACAAGAACCAGAAGUGACAUGUGAGCUCUUAGACUUGCUUAGGCUAAAUAAUUUACAUUUUUAACUUAGCUUGUAAAAUAAGUCUCAAUAGGGACGGAACAAAAUAUUUUUGCUUAUGAGCUAUACAUUGACCUGAAAUGCUUUUUCUUCUUCCUGGGUUAAUCGCUAGACCCAAAUCAUGAUCCUUAAGGUUUAUUUUUAAACUUAUUUUCUGCUAAAUUAAAGUUAAUCUCAAGAAUGUUUCUUUGCAAUGCACUAUUAAGAUAAUGGUUUAUUCUAGAACUUUUUCUCACUGUUUAUGUUGUUUAUUUGAUGAUCGAAUUGUCCUUCAUCUCUAAUAUGGUUCAUGAAGUUGUAUUGAUUUUACAUUGAAGGUUGAAUAGUAGAAUACUAUAAUAGAAAUUCUGGAGCUUGUUUGUUAUUAUGCUCAUAAAUGUCGAAAUGUUACUUCUCAAAAAUAAAAAAUACCAUUCUUGCAUUUUAUCAAAAGUUCAAAGGUUAAUCAAUGGCUUAGGUGGUAUUUGCAUGAACGAUAAGGCAUUUUAAAAUGCUACGGAACAGAGGUUCUUCAAUCCUCGAGUAGUCCUUCAUUGUUUCCCAAUUCCUCUUCUACUUUACAAACUAUGGAAGAAAUGAAAGCGAUGGAAAAGAAAAUUGGAAGAUAAUGAACCUGAUGAUAAUUAGAUUGUAGUUAUUGUUCUUGUUUUUUUGUUGUGACAUUUAGAUGUUUAAACUAUUUGAUUUGAUGUUUGUUUUGAAUGGUUUAAAGUGGUUGUAUUUACAAAUUUUUGUCGUGUUUGAUCCUAUUGUAAAAAACACAUUAGUUAUGUUGUUUAUAAUCUAAAAGCAAUGUAAGCUAUUGCAAUAUAAUAAUUAUUAAAUAACUAUUUAUUAAAUAAUAAUAAUUAUUUAUUAAUUUUCCGACUACAGACUACAGGAGUCAGAAUAAUUAAAAUUAUUAAAUAAUUAUUUAUUAAAUUUUUGAAUACAGUGGUCGGAAUAUUAUGAUUAUUUAAUAUUUAUUUAUUAAAUUUCCGACUAUAGUAGUCAGAAUAAUUAAAUUAUAAAAUAAUUAUUUAUUAAAUUUAUGACUACAGUAGUCGGAAUAAUUAUAAUUAUUAAAUAUUUAUUUAUUAAAUUUUUGACUAUAGUAGUUGGAAUAAUUAAAAUUUUUAAAUAAUUAUUUAUUAAAUUUCUGACUACAGUAGUCGAAAUAAUUAAAAUUAUUAAAUAAUUAUUUAUUAAUUUUCAACUACAGUAGUCAAAAUAUUUAUAAUUAUUAAAUAAAUAUUUUUGUUAAAUAUCCGACUACGUUUUCGAUUAAAGGAGUCAGACAUUUCCAACUACUGUAGUCGAAAAUAUUUUUCCAACAAGCUAUAUUACGACUACCAUCAAGCAGUCGGAAUGUAGUCAGAACUACCUUAUUUUUCGACCACAUUCCGACUACAUUAGCCGUCAGAAAUUUAGUGUUUUCUAGUAGUGCAUAUACCACAUUAAAGCACUUGGGAGUCUUUUAUGUUCUCAACUAGAAUAAGCAUUUAGCCUUUAGCCAUUUCAAACCAUUUAAAUCAUGUAUGAUUCCUUUACCAAGUUUAAAACAUGCAAUAGUUCCAUUAAAAGAAGUCAAUGCAAUGAACAUAUCUUUAUAAACAUUUUAUCAAAUACCUUGGGGACAUAAUAUAACCAAAACCAACUCCAAAGAUCAUUAAACCAUUACUAUUCAAUCCAAUUGUCCAAAACCAACAUUAAUACAUAUAAAAGCAUAAUUAAAACCAUAACCAAGCAUUUAAUAUCAAAACCCCCAAAUAAUAGUUGAAAGCCAUAAUCACGAAAUAGUAAAACCAUGAAAUCAAUCAUAUAAAUCAUGUCUUUAGUUGAAAUUAAAUGAGAGAAGAGAAUCAUGCCUUAUACCGAAGAAUUGAUAGAAGGAAAUCACCAAAGAAAGAUCCAAAGCAAUCCUUUAGAUGAAACCCUAGCCUUCUUGCCCUAAAAUCUCUUGAGAGAAUUAUGGAGUGUUUUGGAAUAGUUUCUAAGUGUUAAUGAAUAGAAUAAUAGGAUAAAUAACCUCCUAAGUGUAUUAGAAGUCAUGGGUCCUAAUUAGGGUGAGUAGGGAAAUGUCUACAAUACCUCCACUUAAUUCCCUUAAAAAUCCCAUCACAGGGAUACGACUGACCCAUAUGAGUCUUACCUUCCCAAUAAGAUUGGUACCCACUACUUGUAUCCAAACCUCAACCUUGUAUUAGACACUGUCAUAUGACUUAUCCAACCAAGCUGUAACAUAAUAUACGAUCCGUACCCAUGACCCGUAUCCCUGGGAAAAUGAAACACCAGGAGGAUCAAACACUAUCCACCAUAUGAGUCCCUGAUACAACUCGUACCAAGCCCUUACGACUAAUACCCCUAAGUCGUACCCAUUUCAGUGACCAAAACCAUCCCACUAACUAACACUAGUCAGCAUAUGACAGGACCAAACCACUCGUACCCCAACAUAUAACUCGUACCCAUGAGUCGUAUUAGGUCUGGAGAAUAGAAUUCCAGGAAAUUUUCUAAGGGUCAAAACCCAAGAUAUUUCAGUCUCCCUCACUAGGAUCAUUCAUCCUUGAAUGAUAGAUAAAGUAGGGGUAACCACACACAGAGUCAUUUGCAUUAUCAAACAUCCUUUUUAACAUCGUUUAAAAAUAAUGGGGAAAAUAUGUAAAUCUUUUCGUUAACAAAUUGAGAAAAUAAAGAUGUGUUAAAGACACAUACCUUCCGUACGAAUCCUAAGAGUAGAAAAAAAUGCAGAUACUUGGAUUUGAUGUCCUCUUCCGCUUUCCAAGUAGCUUCUUCCACCUUAUGGUUCCUCCAUAGAACCUUAACCGAAGCCACAUCCUUGGUCCACAACCGACGAAAUAGCAUAUCUAAUAUCUCGAUCGGGACCUCUUCAUAAGAUAAAGAAUCCAAAAUGCCCAAUCAUUCGAAAGGAACAACCGAAGAAGGAUCACCAAUGCACUUCCUCAACAUAGAAACAUGAAAGACUAGAUGAACCAAACUUACGCUAGAUGGAAAAUCCAACUUAAAAGCAAUAUUGCCAACCCUUCACAAAAUCACAUAAGGACCAACAAAUUGAGGACUGGGUUUGUCCUUCUUGCCAAAUCGCACCACUCCUUUCAUGGGAGACACUUUGAGGAACACUCUAUCACCGACCUCAAACCUCAAGUCUCUAUGCCUAACAUCCACAUAGGAGUUUUGGCGACUUUGGACAACUCUAGGACUAUCCCUAAUCUCCUUCACUUUAUCUAUUACUUGAUAAACCAAAUUCGGGACAAACAUGUCCACCUCCUCAAGCUCAAACUCACUAAAAGGAUAUCUACACCUCAUACUGUAUAACGCUUUAAAAAGAGCCAUACCAAUGCUAGAAUGGUAGCUAUUGUUGUAAGCAAACUCUACCAAAUGUAGAUGCUCAACCUAAUUGCCACCAUAAUCAAUUACAAAGGCCCAAAGAAUAUAAUGUCUGAUUAGUUCUCUCCUCUUGACCAUCCGACUGUAGAUGAAAAAUAGUACUCAGACUUAUCUUAGUCCCCAACCCUUACUAGAAAGACCACUAGAAAUAAGACGUAAACUGCAUACCAUAAUAAAAAAUAAUCAAGACAGGUAUUCCAUUCAACUUCACAAUCUACUAAUGAUACAACUUCACAUAAUCCUCCACUAAAAAGGUAGUCCACACUAGCAAGAAGUGUGCAGACUUAGUCAUCCUAUCCAUAAUGACCCAAAUCGAAUCAAAUUGGUUUCCAGACCGAGAAAGAAUGGUGACAAAAUCCAUAUUGAUCAUCUCCUACUUCCAUUCAGGCAAAUCUAUUUCUUGAUAAAACACACUAGUCCUCAUGUGCUCAACCUUAACUAAUUGACACGCCAUGUAUUUGGCCACGAAAUCAACCACAUCCCUCUUCAUACCAUUCCAGUAAUAGAUCUCCUUGAGAUCAUGAUACAUCUUUAUCGAUCUAGGAUAAACAACAUAGUGCGACUCAUGUACCUCAGCAAAAAUCGUUUGUCGCAACCCAUCGACAUCAUGAAUACACAACCUCCCUUGGUAUCGUAAAGUACCAUCACCACUAAUCUCAAAAACCGCUACCUUUUGCUCAACAAUAUCACUCUUGUUUUCAUCAAGACAAGAUCCGGUGCUUGUUUUUCCUUAAUCUCUGUACUAAGAGACAAUUGUACGUCCUUUUGCACCAACACACUACCAUCCUUAGAGUCCAAGAAACGAACCCUAAGAUUAACCAAGCAGUGAAUAUCCUUCACUAAUUCCCACUUUCCUUCCUCCACAUGAGCCAGAUUUCCCAUUGAUAACCAGCUAAGAGAUCACCAAACAUAUUAGCCUUACCUUGGUGGUAGUAAAGAAUCAUAUCAUAAUCCUUGAGAAGCUCAAGCCAUCUUCUUUGCCUGAGAUUUAGCUCUUUUUGAGUGAACACGUAUUGAAGAUUCUUGUGAUCAGAAAAGAUAUCCACGUGAACACCAUACAGAUAAUGCCACUAUAUUUUCAAAGAAAAUAUAAUUACCAACAACUCUAAAUCAUAAGUAGGAUAACUUCUCUGAUGUAGCUUCAACUUCCUAGAAGCAUAGUCAAUCACCUUCCCAUGCUGCAUGAAAACACAACCAAGCCCUACCCGAGAUAUAUCACAGCAAACCACAAACCCAUCAUUGCCUUUUGACAAGGUUAGGAUUGGAGUCAAAGUCAACUUAUCCUUCAACUUCUCAAAAGUCCCUUCAUAAGCAUUCGACAAAGAAAACUUAACCUUCUUUUGAGUCAACUUAGUCAAGGGAGCAGCCAUCGAAGAAAAGUUUUUCAUAAACCGCCUAUAAUAUUCGGCUAAACCCAAGAAGCUUCAAAUAUCAAAUGGAGUUAUGGGCCUAGGACACCCUUUCACCGCAAUAACUUUUUACAGAUCCACCAUGAUCCCUUCACUAGAAAUUAUAUGACCCAAAAAAGUCAAAGUGUUCAACCAAAACUCAAACUUAGAGAACUUGGCAUAUAACUGUUGUUCAUUUAAGGUCUACAACACCACACGAAGGUGAUUAGCAUUAUCUAUCUUACUCUUCAAAUAAAACGAAAUGUCAUCAAUGAACACAAUGAUGAAGAGAUCCAAAUAUUGCUUGAACACUUUGUUCAUCAAGUCCAUAAAUGCCGCCGGAGCAUUAGUCAACCCAAAUGACAUCACCAAGAACUCAAAAUGCCUAUACCGAGUAUGAAAAGUCAUCUUAGGGAUAUCCACCUCCCUAAUCUUAAGAUGAUAAUACCCAGAUCGAAGUUAUAUCUUAGAGAAGAACUUAGAACCUUGCAAUUGGUCAAACAAGUCAUCUAUCCAGGAAAGAGGAUACUUGUUCUUGCCUGUCACCUUAUUCAACUGCUGGUAGUCAAUGCACACCCAAAGAGAACCAUCCUUCUUGUGUACAAACAACACCAGUACACCCCAUGGAUAAAUAAUAGGAUAAAUAACCCCAUUAUCCAUAAGAUCCUUAAGUUGCUCCUUCAGUUUCCUUAACUCAACCGGAGCCAUUCUAUAUGAAGGAAUAGAAAUUGGACGAGUGUCCGAAAAAAAUCAAUACCAAACUCUAUUUCCCUAUCUGGAGAAACACCAAGAAGAUCAUUCAAAAAGAACUCUGGAAACUCAUUAACCACAGGGACCGAAGAUAAAAAAAGACCUUACGAUUUAGAGUACUUAACCCAGACCAAGUGAUAAAGACAAACCUUGGAGAUUAACCUUCGAGCUAUAAGACAAAAAAUAAACCUCCCCCUAGGAGCUUAGGAACUACCUUCCCAUUUUAUAACUGGUUCACUAGGGAACUUAAAGAUAACCUUAUAGGUCUGACAAUCCAAAGAUGUGUAACAAAAAUGCAACUAAUCCAUACCCAAAAUUAUAUCAAAAUCUACCAUAUCCAACUCAAAUAGAUUUGCCAAAGUCUGCUUGAUACCAAUAGAUACCACAUACCCCCUAAGACUCUCUUAGCAAUAAUUGAGUCACCUAUUGGGGUUGAAAUAGAAAAAGGAUCCGAAAUGACUUCCAGAUCGAAACUAAAAGACACGCCACAUAUAGAGUAACAUAAGAAACAACGAACCCUGGAUGAAGCAAACAAUAUAUGUCAUAAGAGAAAAGCUAUAACAUACCAGUAAUGACAUCAAGUGAUGCCUUUGAUUCCUAUCGAGAUGCCAAAGCAUACAACCUAUUUUUACCAACACUAAAACCAGAAGCAGUAACUGAAGCAUAUGCCAAACCACCAGCUGUAGGAGUAGAAGAUAAAGUCACAGGAAUCUUAUUCUCCCUCAUAGCAACUUUAUUAACUGGAUUCGCCAAGGUCUUCUUGCUACCAAUAGAUACCAUACACCCCCUAUAGAAUCUAUUAACAAUAAUUGAGUCACCUAUUGGGGUUGAAAUAGAAAAAAGAUCCGAAAUGACUUACAUAUCGAAACUAAAAGACAUGCCACAUAUAAAGUAACAUAAGAAAAAACGAACCCUGGAUAAAGCAAACAAUAUAUGUCACAAGAGAAAAGCUAUAACAUACCAGUAACGACAUCAAGUGAUGCCUUUGAUUCCUAUCGAGAUGCCAAAUCAUACAAUCUAUUUUGACCAAUACUAGAACCAGAAGUAGUAACUAAAGCAUAUGCCAAACCACCAGGUGUAGGAGUAGAAGAUAAAGUCGCAGGAAUCUUAUUCUUCCUCAUAGCAACUUUGUUAACUGGAUUCGCCAAGGUCUUCUUGCUACCAAUAGAUACCACACACCCCCUAUAGACUCUCCUAGCAAUAAUUGAGUCACCUAUUGGGGUUGAAAUAGAAAAAAGAUCCAAAAUGACUUCCAGAUCAAAACUAAAAGACACGCCACAUAUAGAGUAACAUAAGAAACAACGAACCCUGGAUAAAGCAAACAAUAUAUGUCACAAGAGAAAAUUUGUAACAUACCAGUAAUGACAUCAAGUGAUGCCUUGGAUUCCUAUUGGGAUGCCAAAGUAUACAACCUAUUUUGACCAACACUAGAACCAGAAAUAGUAACUGAAGCAUAAGCCAAACCACCAGGAGUAGGAGAAGAACAUAAAGUCACAGGAAUUUUAUUCUCCCUUAUAGCAACUUUUUUAAUCGAACAAUCACUGAAUCGAUGGACUACCUAGCCACACUUGAAGUAUUUGUCCAUUUCUUUCCUUUCAUAACCCUAAUAAGGACAACUACAAAAUUAACAAUGAGGACACAAAGAAACUGACUAACCUUCGCUCACUUGAGAUUUAGCAACCUGUACCCGAGAAUUGUCACCACCUUGAAGACACUUGUCUCCUGACCGAUAAGGAGAACUUGCAGAAAAGGAUCAAAAACUCCCCCACUUCUUUUUCUGCCACUUUCCACCAUUACUACCACCUUGAGACUGAGCACCUCCCUGAUCAGUAAACCUGCUCCUCUUACCCUACCUAUCCCUAAACUUGUCCUUCCUUUUUUUAUCAUGUUCAACCUGCUGCAUAUGAAUAGUCAACCUCAAGAUGUCCAUAUGCUUAAUAAGCAAAGUAGUCUUGCUCUCCAGAAUCAAAUCUCUAUUCAACCCAAAAGCAAACUUCCUCAUUCUUGACCUUAUAUCAUCUACCAAGUGAGGAUUAUACGUUAAUAGAUGAUGGAAUUUUAAAGCAUAUUUCUUUACUGUCAUUCUUCCCUGCCUGAGGUUAACAAUCUUCUCCAUCUUAGCUUUCCUCAACUCUUGAGGAAAGAACUGAUCCAAGAAAGUAUUAGAAAAAUCCUCCCAUAACGCUUCCUCUUUUAUAUCACCAUCAUCUCUAUCCUACUCCCCAUACCACUGAUAAGUAACAUCCUUGAGCUGAUAAACUACAAAUUUAACCCUCUCUAUAUUAGUAGCCUGUAUUACUCAAAAGAUAUUUUUUAUCUCAUCCAAGAAGCCUUGUGGAUCCUCCUCCACCUUUACUCCAAUAAAAGUUAAAGGACCCAUCUUCAUAAAUUGACCAACUCUUAUGGCCUCAGCAGAUAAACCACCAGCCACUUCCCUCUCAGCCUAAGUAAUAACUAGUUGGGAAAUAAUAUAAAUAGACUUAUUAAAUUCUGCAUUCUUCAUGUUACCUUGAGGGACUUGAGGAGAACUAUCCAAAAUAGGAGAAACUCCAGCACCAUCAAGAAUAGGACCAUGAGAAUAAAGAUAUACUCCAAACGUAGAAUAUACCCUUUCAGCAUUAUCCCUAGAUAGGAUAGAAGAAUUUCUUUGUGUUCUAGAUCUUGGAGGCAUGAUCUAAAAGAUAAACAAACAAGGAUUAGAGAUAAUUCCAGGAUUGAGAACUCAAGCUUAAAGAUAAAAUACCAAGAAAGUAAAACAUUCCUAAAUACCUUGUAGGCUCUCUCUUACGAGUAUGAUGCGCUUCACAUCUCUAAAAGAGACUCUACUUGAUAUGGCUUUGUGGACUUCUAAGUGACCAUAAACCUAGGAUCUGAUACAAACUUGACACGACCCAACCCCAGGCCUUGUCGUAAUGGGAAUUCUAAGUCCAAUAAGGAUUAGGGAAUGCCCCCUGUUACCCAACCCAACCUUUAGUUGCCUGCCCUGAGUUGGCUGAAUUUCGAGCAUAAAACAUACUAGUGUAACAGCUCACACAAAAACCCUAGGAAUAGAUCAAAAUCAUGACCAACCCAAUUGAGUCCAACCAUCCCAUAACAACCGUCCAACCAUACCAAACCAUAGGCUAAAAACCAGGUAAUAGCAUGGGUAUAAAGCCGCCAGUAGACGAGGCUAGUGAGUGACCGCUAGCAUGAAUCUCAGGAUAAGGAUAAAAUAAUGCUAGUUAUAAAACCAAAUAAAACCAUCCAUAAUGCAUAAAACUAUACAUAUAUAAGUUUCGGGAAAGAGAAUCGGAUUUAGCAUGCAUUGUAAACCUUUACCUGGGCUGUGUAGCUUGGCUGUCCUAUACCACCCACAAGUGAUAUAGGCUCAGCUUCCCCUACUAAAAAGGCCCCAUUGAGUCUAGCUGCACUACCAAAAAAGUAUCCCAUGGGAUGAGUAGUACAUCACCCAAUAGUGUGAAAUCAUGUAUAAGGUCCACUAAUACCAAUCCUCAUAUCUAUAAAUACAAGUUUUUAGUUUUGGUCCCCCCGGAACCACCACCUUUCACAGCUUUGCUACAUACCCCACCAAUAAUGCCCAAUUAAAAUCGUUUCCAAAUAACCAACCAAAUCCAUUUGCAAUUUAUUUUGUUGAGGCUAAUAUUAGUGCUAUUGUUAUACAACCACCUACUUCCAAGUAAUAUCAAUUGCCAAACUAUUCAGGUUAAAAGAACUUUCAAGUGCCCUUCCAUAUACCAUAUGAAACAACAUGGGAGACUUCAUUAUUUGCCACAAGUAUAACUAUUUAGCCUUUAGCCUUUUCAAACUAUUUAAACCUUGUAUUAUUCCCUUACCAAGUUUAAAACAAGCAAUAGUUCCAUUAAAAAAAGUAAAUGCAAUAAGCAUAUCAUUAUAAGUAUUUUAUCAAACACCUUGGCAGCAUAAUAUAACCAAAACCAAAUCCUAAGACCAUUAAACCAUUACCAUGCAAUCCAAUUGUCCAAAACCACUAUUAAUACAUAUAAAAGCAUAAUUAAAACCAUAACCAAACAUUUAAUAACAAAACCCCUAAAUAAUUAUUGAAAGCCAUAAUCAUAAAAUUGUAAAACCAUUAAAUCAAUCAUAUAACCAUGACUUUAGUUAAAAUUAUGAUAAGGGAAGAGAAUCAUGCCUUAUUCCAAAGAAUUGAUGGAAAGAAAUCACCAAAGAAAGCUCCAAAGCAAUCCUCAAGAUGAAACACUAGCCUUCUUUCCCUAAAAGCUCUUGAGAGAAAAUAUGAGGGUUUUUGAAUAGUUUAUAAGUGUUAAUGAAUAGAAUAAUAGGAUAAAUAACCUCCUAAGUAUAUUAGAAGUCAUGGGUCAUAAUUAGGGUAAGUAGGGAAAUAUCCAAAAUACCUCUACUAAAAUCUCUUAAAAAUCCUAUCACAAGGAUACGACUGACCCAUAUGAGUCGCACCCUCCCAAUGUGAUUGGUACCCCCCACUCAUAUCCAAGCCUCAUCCUUGAUCAGACACUGUCUAGUAUACGACUCAUCCAACCCAGCUGUAACAAUAGCAUACGAUCCGUACCCAUGAUCCAUAUCCCUGGCAGAAUGAAAUACUAGGAGGAUCAAACACUGGCCACUAUAUGAAUCCAUGAUACGACUCGUAUCAAGCCCCUAAGGGAUUGGUAGAUACCACAAAUUUCAACAAUUUUAUUUUGGUAUCUCCUUCGUGUUUUAUGAUUAUUUUUGAGUUGAAUUAGGAUAAGAAAUGAUAAUGAGGCCAUUAUAAAGUAUUUUAAAAAUUUUUGGGAUAUGUUGGGUUCUUAUGGGGACCCCAAACCAUUGAUGGUCCAUAAUAAAAGCGCGACAUGCUUUGCGCUGACCGUAACAAGGACAUGCCACGCCCUUGGUGUGGCGUAAUAAGGGUGUGCUGCACCAAGGGUAUAAAAAUGCCAAUUUUGUUUUUUCUUUGUUUGGGUUGAGGGAUUUUGUAAUACCCCAAGUUUAUUAGCUCUAGACCCACCAACAUAUAGACAAUUGAAUUAGCUUUCCAAUGCUACCUAUCUUUCCUUAAUCCAAUAUCAAGGUAAAACAUUAUGGUCAAUUUACUAAAGUAUUGUCGAAUUGCCAGUAAUGACACCUUUGACAAUGACUUAUUGUCAGACUAAAUGAUUCAUUAGGAAGGCUUGACAUCACGAUAGUGAUGGACCAGACAAUUCAAUUCAGUAAUGAUGACCCCAACAUAUGACUUGUUAUCAGUCUAAAGGAAUUUUAAGGUGAAUUUGUUGUCAUAAUAGUGAGGAGCCAAUAUUUUGGCCCUCUGGUCAUGACUCUAGUCCACGACUCAUCAGAUCCUACGAGUCAUAGCCUAAGCCAUGGCGACUACUUCCAAAAAUUUGAUAAACAUUUUAAAAGGGGGAUUUUGGUCUUUUCCCAUUCUUUUAACAUCUAACCCACGUCAUUUUGGGAUCCCAAGGCAAAAUAUUGUAGUUAAAAUUACUUUCAGCCCUCAUUAAAUCAAAAUUCAUCCAAUACUCAAUUUUAAACAGACAAAAGAAACGAUUUUCCUACCUAAAGUGCAAUUAGGGUUCUUCUAUUCCAAUUGAAAUUCUAAAGAAUUCUUCUAGGAUUUCAUCUCCAAGGAUGUGGAAUUUCAUCAAUGGGUUCCUUCCAUCCAUUGAGCCCCAAAGAUUUCUAUGGUACUCAAGUUAAAUUUUUUCUUCAAGUUUAGGGUUCCAUUAAAAGCAUAAGUUUAAUAAUUCUUCAGUUUAUUUGUUAAAUUACACCUUGGAUAAGUGUAAGCAUAUUCCUAUACUCAGAAAUUGAAAUCCCAUUAUAUUAAUAAAAUUGUUAAUUCUUGGGUUUGAUUUAUGAAAUUCCCUAUUAUUUUUAUAUUUUGAUAUUGUGAUGUUGGGUUGCAUUCUUCUGAGCUAGUGGAUUAUGAACACUCGAUACCUAGAAAUUUAUGCAUACAUCAGUUUACAUGUUCUUGAGUACUUUAGAUUAUGCAUAUAUUAUUAUUUUAAGAAUAUUAUUAUAUUGAGAGUAUCAGUUAUUAUUAUCUUUCAGUUGGGAUAAUACUUAGCACUGAGAGAAUGUAGGAAUGAAGGUUCAUCCAUCAGUUAGGACUGAGACCUGAUAUCGCCCAAAACUACACCUUCAAAAACUAUAAUAUGGUCGAAGUCAAGUAUAGGAACCCAACUAGGUUGGAGUCGAACCCACAGAGAAUAGGUCAGAACUAUUUCUCAAACUUACUAAAAUCACCGGACAGUGCAGAAAAGUAAAUAGAGGAAUGCUUUUGGUUGUAAACAAUGUGAAACGAACACUUGGCUUGUGCUCCAUUGAGCUACCUAAUAUCGUCCCAAUAUCUUGCAUGCAAAAUUUGAUAAAUUAUAUUUCACUGACUGUCUUGUGAAUGCCUUUAGUGAAUUUUAAUCUUUACCUUUUGAGCCUCAGAGUGUCGCCUUACUAACCCUUAUCCUAGAUCCCAGAUUAACUAAUACCUUUAAAGUGUCAAGUUAAUUAUAUGAGAAGGAAAAUUAUAAGAUGGAGGUGAAUCUCAAAUUACUAUCGUGAUCUUCUUUUCCUAAUCUCUACCCCUUUUUUAAAGUAAGUAGUAAAUAUAGAUAGCUUCUUCACAUUGGCCACUGGUAAGAAAUCUAUUAAACUAAAGAUGAUCAUAAUACAUGCAAGAAUAUUGGUUUGGAACAACUUUGCACUUUUCCUACUUUGCUACUAUGCCAGGGUGCCCACAACCCUAGAUAAGGGAAUUAGCCAUUCAUAGUUGUGAAACAAUCUAUGGAAUUCAUAAUUAAAAGCAUAGAAUCAAUCUCACAAUAACAUAUAAAGAAAACCCAAAGUCUUAAAUCAAUAAAUCAACCAAAAUUCAAGAACACAAGAAUCCCAAGAUCAAAAGCUAAUCCUAAAAGCAAUAUAUGUUUGUAAGAGUAUACAGUGAAUAAACUUGCCGUCAAGAGCAUAUAAUAUCCUCCAAGGGCCUAAACUAGUAUAAACUAACCUAAAAUGUCAAAAGAGUAUUUAUAGAUUAUAUGGAAACCCUAGAAAUUCAAUCCGAAACUAUCCAAAAAAGGUAUGUCGGUGGCCAGCUAUGGGCCAUAGGUGGCAGCUACAGCCCUUAGAUGGGGGCCGUAAGUAGUAAGCAUAAUAUAUUGUUCUCGAAAUAUUCUACUGACACCUACAGCCUUCCACAUAUGCCCAGUAGGUGCCAAGCCUUAGGUAGAAGGUCUAAAAUUUCUGCUUUUGAUUCUCUAAACUUUAGCCUUCUGGCACUUAUGGUCUGUCACUUACUCAAGGUAUGUGGAACCUACUCCAAGUAGGUGCCAUCAUAAAUGGUCAAUUUUUGUCUUUUAACUCCAUUUUCUUCUAGUUAGCUCAAUGGGCCUAGUUUCCUGCAAAUUCAUCUCAAAAACACAUCAAAUCUAAUAAAAUAUCCUUAAGUACAUGCAUAAUUUUGUAGUUUUAAGCAUCGUAAGUUCUAUGAAUCCAUAGCACAUCAACACCCUCAACUUAGAAUGUUUGCAUUUCCUCAAGCAAUAAAACAUACCUAAGAAACACAAUAAUGCUUAACCAGGAGAACCCUAUGAUAUCUAUGACAGUAAAUCAUCAACUUUAAGCUCAAGAACAUUACCCACUCCAGUUUUAACAUUUCAAAUACGACUGUGUGUAUAAAUGUAUCACAACAAUAUGACACAUAAGAAUAAAUAUAUGGCAUUACAUUAGCAACAAAAAAUCAUGCAUAUGUCUAAGUUAUACUACCUGAACAAACAAGCGGCUAGCAACACAACCCUUAUACCCUAACAACAAAGAAGUCUCACUCAUCCAAUGGGAUCAUGCAUGUUAAUGCAUGGACGAUCACGAGGCCCUCACACUUACAAAGAAAUUCCAAAAAGGUGUGUGAAAUACCAUAGGCUUGCCCUCAUUUUCUUUACCUUAGUUUUUAGAUAGUCGGUUAGGAUCACUAUAGGACUUUACUCGGUCUGUAAUGUAGGCUUAGGGGUUGGUAUGGUAUAUAUGGGAAUUUAAUGACUAAUCUUCCCUGGAAUAAGUAGACCCCAAAUGUAAGUGUAGUUCCAGGGAAGAUUACACACCUUUUUGGAAUUUCUUUGUAAGUGUGGGGUCUACCUAUUCGGUUCAUGCAAAUAUUAGCUAUAAUUAUUAUGUCCCUAAUUCUAAUGCCAUAACGAGAUUCACAAUGGUCAUAUAUAUAUAUACAUACAUAUAUAUAUAUAUACAUCACACAGUUCAACAAUAAAUUUUUGAAAGGUUAUCAUUUUUCUCAAAGAUUAAAACAAAGUACAUCAAUAGCCAUAGAUACUUAUUUUUCUCCUAGUUACACAAAAACAAAGCAGAAUACAAAACAAAACACAAUACAUCCUAAAAAUAUUGGCUCUACUAAGAAAAAAUUCUAGGGAAAAAAGACCUAGACACAAAAACACCAAAAGGACAUCUAGGCCCACAAGUAGCCCUAUAACACCAUCAACUUAGAAUCAUGCAUUGUCCCCAAUACAUUAGACUGCUACAAAAUAAAAAAGUUAGGAACAUACCUAUGACACCUUAGGUGUAGCGUCAAGCAUACUAACAUAAAUGAAUGCAAAAAUAAAAAGAUACCUUGGGUUGCCUCCCAAGCAGCACUUGAUUUCCAUUGCUACAUGACUUGUCUAUGUUGGCUUCUCAAACUUCACCAACAAGACUAUGGGUUGCCUCCUAUGCAAUGCCUAAUUUAAUGUUACAGAAUGACGCAGAAUUACUCAAACUUUAUCAAGGUAUCCAAAGAGUUGGUCUCUAACUUCUCUCCACUUUGAACUUAUGAAUUACAACACUAAGGUUUUCUCCACUUUUAUACUAUAAUUAGGGGCAGUGGUAUGAAAAUAAAUGAAAUAAGCAAUAGAUAUGACAUGUUGCAAUUAUUGCUCCUUAAGUGAGAAAUGUAAUUUUUUGGCUUUGGCAUAUCAUAUUAAAAAAUAUAGACAUAUUUUUCAUCCCCUUUACACUCUUUAAUAGGCUAAGAUGGCUCGAAUUAUCUCUUACUAUCCAAACAUAAUGCAAAAAAAUGAUUAGAAUGAGGUCCAAUAGUCCCAAUUCAUGAAUUACAUUUUUAUUUACAUCCUCACAUAACUCUAGUGUUCUCAUCUCAAUAGUUACAAUAGCCAUAAAAGUAUGAUCAAGUGUCGAAUCCUCCAAUUUUAGCUCCUCAAAUAUGCUUAUAAGAAUCUUUUCAGUUUUACAUAACUCAUAACUAAAUUGCUAGGCGCCACACACAUCAACCUCUAGAUUUAAGUCUCCUUUUAAGUUAUUAAUCUCCUUGCCAAACCUAUCAACCUUUUUACUGAACGUCUCUUUUGCUUUUGUGUGUAGUGUCAACAUUUAUAGCAUACACUCAUUGUGAUCCCAUAAAAUAUUUAUAACACUUCUUUAAUAAUUCACUAUAUCAAAAGGAUAUGGAUCAAUAAGAAGGAAGUCAUCAUUACUCCACCCUUCCUCUUUUAAAUAUGUCAUAUCCAAAAGAGUAGCAAAAUAUAUAAUAAAUAAAACUAAAAAAUUCAACAACUUCAAUCAACAAAUCCACAACUGUAUUCCCCAACCGCAGUUCUAAAACUUUGAUGUCGUCUAAAACUACACCUCCAAGAAGGAUAAUGAAUUUGAAGUCAAGUAUAGUACCCGAAUAGGUUAGGGUUAAACCCACAGGGAAUAGGUCAGAACUAUUUCUCAAACUUGCUGAAAUCACUGGGCAGUGUAGAAAAGUAAAUGGGGGAAUUUCUGUAAUUCAUAGAAAGUAACAAAACUCGAAUGCUUUUGGUUGAAAAUAAUCUUAAAUGAACACUAGGCUUAUUUUCCCAUAUCUUUUAACUCUAUAGGUUUAUCAUGCUCUGUUGAACUACCCAAUAUCUUACCUGCAGAAUUCAAUAAGUUAUUUCUCACUAACCGUCUUGUGAACGUCUUUAGUGAAUACUCUUUACCUUUUGAGUCUUAGAGUGCCACUUUACUAACCCUUAUCCUAGAUCCAAAUUAACUAAUACCUUUUGAGUGUCGGGUUAGUUAGAUAACAUGGUAGAAUUAUAAGAUGGAUGUGAAUCUCAAAUUACUGCCCAAAUUUUCUUUUACUAAUCUUUACCUUUUUUUCAAAGUAAGUAAUAAAUGCAGACGGGCUCUUAACAUUGUCCAUUAUUAAUAAAUCUUUAAAACUAAAGAUGAUCACAUUACAUGCAAGAAUAUUGGCUUGGAACAACUACUUUAAUAUUCCAUCAGGGUUCUCACAACCCUACGUAACGCCCCAAUUUUUUGAACUAGAAUGCUACACGAUGCUCAUGACCCCGAAGGGCCACAAGCUAACCCAUGACUGAUAUCUGUACCUAUAACUUCAUAAUAUACAUAUAAAAUACAAAAACAUGAACAAAGAGGGCAUAAGGUUCAAUCUUGAAUAAUAAAAUAUCUGAAAUAAAGAGGUAUCAUGGUACCAAAAUAAAACUGAAAAUACUAAAGUCUAAAUCUGAAAAAUCUAUAAUCGUCUGAAAGUCUCUAAACUGUAUGAAUAAGGAGUUGAAAGAACAUGUCUCCAACUAACUCGCUAAACUGAAAAUAAACUAAAAUACCGGAAUAAUAAAUGUAACGAUCAUGUCCUCGAAAGAUGAGGACUCACUGCUUACUGAACUACUACUGCUGAUCUGGAAUCUGCACCUAAGAAUGUAUAGUGUAACAUAAAAAGAAAGCACCAUAGCACAAAUGCGUUAGUACAACUAAAGCACUGAGUAUAAGUGGGGGUAGGCUAAAUUCAUGAGGUUUAUAUGCAUGAACAUGCAGACUAAUAUGAAUAUGAGAAUACAUACAUACAUACAUACAUACAUAUGUAACUGCUACUGAACUAGUGGAGAUACUGACUACUUGAGUUUGAACUCUGACAACAUGAGUUUCGUGAUACUAAUAUACUGAAUGACUGAUAACAUGGAUGAAUGUAUCUAACAGUCCUAAUUCUGGGGAAAACUAUCUGAGUUCCAAACUGUAUCUGAAUAUCUAAGUCUGAGAUCAGUCCUAGCUAAUGAGUGAUCUCUGAAACUGAUAAUAAGAAUACUCGACUAAAUUUGAGAUUGAGAUCAAGCCUGUCUGCCAGGUGACCUCUAGAUCUAAUAAUAAGCAUCUGAAUAUGGGACCAAGCCUAUCUGAUGGGAUGGUCCAGGAAUCAAUGGAACUAUCUGAGUUCCUUACUGAGAUCGAUGACUAUAUCUGACAGUCCUGAUUCCUGAUUUCUACUCUGAAGAUUGAUACUGAAACUGUAACUGUAACUGUGACAAUGGGAGGUAGUAACCUAAUCAACAUACCCCGAUACUAUACUUAUGGGGUCCAAUCUUUGCCCUGAUUGGAAGGGUUUCAAUACCGUGCCACGGGUAGAGACCUCUACUAUGGUCAAGUCUCUCUGACGGGUGACCCUGAAUAGGAAAUCAAGCCUAGGGCAAUAUAAUAGUCAAGUAUAUCCUUAAUCUGAUGGGUGACUCCUGUCCUGCGCUGGUUACAUAGUUUUAGAGUACAAGGAUUGCUGCUAAUGGCUUUACCUUUAUAACGGGAAAAACUGCCAUCCCUGCACUCGCUCGGUGCUAGUCUCUACUCCCAACUAAAAUACUCUAAAAAGAUUAAAUGCGUUGAACUGACUAACUGAACUGAACUGAUUUAUAAACUGAUUAACUAAGCUGAUAAUAUUUUCUUAGCUGAACUAAGUUGAAUUCACUAAGUUCCGUUGAAUGACGAAAAAGCUACUUGAGAUUUGAGGUUUGACUGAAAGUACUAAACUACUGGGACUAGUGAACUACUGAGAUUUCUGAGUUUUUUCUAAGUCACGUGACUAACUAAAAUCUAUGGAGCAUAGCUUGACUGUGGAUGUCUUGAAACAUGACACUAGCUCUAGGUACACAGCUAUAGUUUUCGGGUAGAAGUACCCCCAGGACUCUACGAAAGGAAACCAACGCACAUGAAUUACUUGAUCAAAAGAGUAGAGUCCACAAUUCAUAAUAUCAUAAGUAAGUAUUUCAUAAUAAGAACUAUUCUCAACAAACUAUCACAUGAUCGGGAAUGCACACAACAUGUAUACACUUGCAUGGCUUCAAUAACAUGGUCAUUCCAUAUCACAACAAUACCAUGAGCAUCUUAUACAACAUCUUCAAUUCAAGACAAUAGCAUGGGGAUCACGUUGAACAUAAACUUAGAACAUGGAAUAGUCAUUUAGGACUUAUUAUGUCAUAAAAGAAUGAUUUUUAUUCCCUUAGGUAUUUUCACAAACACCUUACAUGCACAUCUUAGGCAUAGGUGGAUUCAUCAAGAUUACAAAUAUUCAACCACCAAUUUCACAUAUUUAUACAAUAAAUACCACCAUAUCCUCAUACAAAACACACAAAGAUCCCAUCUUAGGCAUUAUCAAACUCCAACCACAUGAACAUCAACCACCAACAACAUAAACAUCAUAAUACAUAAUUUAGAAGAUGGUUCUUGAGCUUCAUGGACGAAAGGAGUCCAUAAAUUAACUCAAACAUACCUUAGAAGGAAGAUCUUGAUGAUUGACAGAGGAAUUUCUUUAAAAUUGGAUCUUCAAGCUUAAUUAUGCAAUCCUAGUUGUUUUUCUCUUUUAGUGCUCUUAGAUGAUUAACUUAAAAUGUUAGUAGCGUUGUAAUGUAAUUAAGAUCUAUAUAUUUUAUAGGGUUAAGUUUAGGGACGUGUAAAGAGUGUUAAAAGACUUAAUUAACCUCAAAAUAACCCAAAACGGAGUGUUUAAGUCACUUGAAACCAUAAGAUAUGUGCCGCAUAUGAUAUCGCAUAUAUUUACAUAGGUGUCACAUAUGAUAUCACCUAAAUUUACAUAGGCGUCGCAUAUGAUAUCGCCUAUAUCUACAUAGGCGCCACAUAUUCUAUCGCAUAUAUUUACAUAGGCACCGCAUAUGCUUUCUAGUGGCCAUGUGGGAUCGGUUAGGCGACGCACUCUACUUCGCAAAGCCAUAACUCCUAGCUCGGGUGUUGGAUUAUGAUAAAAUUGGUAUCGUUGGAAAGCUAAUUCGAUUCUCUAUAGUUUGGUGGGUAGAAAUAUGCAGAAAUACCACAUUAAAAUUGAGCUAUACUGGUUCAAAUAUGACCCUAACUAAAUAAAAUACUAAAACUUGAUGGAUUCAAAAAGUCUUAGCUUGUAUUACCUUAAGUGACUCAUAUGACCAUGCUUAACACAUCAUAAGCUAUCUUAUCACUAGGAUACUCAUUGUAAGUCAUGUACUUAAGUAUGAAUCACAGGAUAGGAGAUUUCAUAUGUAGGAAAAAUAGUUCGUCUCCUAGCUUAGAAAUAUGUGGGGUAUUACAAUAUCUCUCCCUUGGGAACAUUCAUCCUCGAAUAAGAAUUAACUGAGGUAGGAGAGAUGAUAAGAUGAAGUACGUACAAGACAUACACUACUGAAACAUGGGUUCAUGACUGACAUAACUGAAAGCUGAGCACAACAUGCUGAACAUGUAUAUCUAAUGCAUAGGAAGCUGAUUCAUGAAUAUAAGACUGAGGAUUCUAAUAAAGUGAGUUUUCUCAAAAUGAGAAUGCAUAUUUGAUGCACAACUAAAAGGUUGAAUCCAUGCAUAUCUGAUGCAUGAUUACAUGACUAACAUGAUAUGUAAAUAUAUGUGUGAAGAUACUGAUAAAUAGCACUUUCUCUACUGAACACGUAUAUCUAAUGCCAUAAUAUCUGACGGAGCUGACUCUUGAAAGCUUGACUGAUUAUGUCAUACUUGACUAUUAGCUCUGCAUUUUCCUAGAUAAUUCUUGCCAUACUCUCUAUAAAGCGGAUAAGUAUGCUCACUUCUAACACUACUCUGGGAUUUAGAGCCUGGCGCCCCACUAUGACUAACAUCUCCAAAGUUAGGUAUUGGCACACUAGCUGAAGAUGGAACAGGGGCUGAAUUUUUCUGACUAUGGUGAGAACGAUUACCACCCCAUGACCCAGCUAGAGAAAAGCUAUAACUACCUGUUCUAAAUCUCUUACUAGAUCUCUUCCUCUCCUUAGAAUUAUCUACCUCUAUUUGCUGAGCAUGCAUCAUUAACCUAGCAAGGUCCAUGUCCCUAUUUAGCAUAGCUAUUCUACACUCUGUCAAUACUAACCCGAACACACUAGUCACAAACUUACUCAUACUCUCUUUGGCGUCAGCUAUCAAGUCAGGAGCAUACUUAGCUAACUGGUUAAACUUAAGACAAUACUCCUUCACUAUCAUGGAGCCUUGUCUCAGGUUCAUAAACUCUUCUGCCUUUGCUUCUCUUAUCUCUAACGGGAAAAACUUAUCUAAGAAGGCAUCCUAAAAUAUCUACCAAGUCAUGGGAGUUUCAUCCUCCCCUAUACUCUUCUUUCACAACACUACCCAAUCAUGAGCAAUAUCUUUCAGCCUAUAGGAUGCCAAUUGCCCACUCUCCUUCUCUAACACAUGCAUGAUUUGGGUGAUCUUCUUUACCUCUUCUAGAUAUAGAUAUGGGUCAUCACCUAUUACUAACCCAAAGAAUUCUGGAGGGUUCAUUCUCAUAAAAUUUAUGAUUCUGGCUGCAGCUGAAUCCCCAUCUUGCUGGGGUGGGGCUACAGUCUGUCGGUUUCCCUGAACACUAAUGGUCACAGCCUGGGCUAGCGCCUAAAAAGCUGCCUAAAAUUCUGCAUGUGACACAUUCUCAUUCAAAGGAUUUGCGGGCUGCAGGGCUGACUGAUUCCCUAUUCUCUUCUUAGGAGGCAUGUUCUGCAAACAGAAGAGGAACAAGGAUUAAACUAAGAGUUCAACUUGAGCUUUUGCUCACUAGCAUGAUAUGAGUACUAAAAUAAGGGAAACUAUUCCUAAAACAUCUUAUAGCCUCCUAUACAUAAAUGUGGAGUGCAACACACCCAUGUACAAGACACUACUAGAGGUGGCUUUUAGACUUCCUGGGAGUCUAUUGAACCUUAGGAUCUGAUACUAAGUUUGUAAUGCCCCAAUUUUCUGAACCGAAAUGCUACACGGUGCUCAUGACCCCGAAGGACCACAAGCUAACCCAUGACUAAUAUCUAUACCUAUAACUGCAUAAUAUAUAUUUAAAAUAUGGAAACAUGAACAAAGAGGGCAUAAGGUUCAAUCUUGAAUAAUAAAAUAUUUGAAAUAAGGUGGUAUCACAGUACCAAAAAUAAAUUGAAAAUACUAAAGUCUAAAUCUGAAAACUCUAUAAUCGUAUGAAAGCCUCUAAACUGUCUGAAUAAGGAGUUGAAGGAACAUGUCUCCAACUAACUUUCUAAACUAAAAAUAAACUGAAAUACUGGAAUAAUAAAUGUAACGAUCAUGUCCUUGAAAGAUGAGGACUCACUGGUUACUGAACUGCUAUUGCUGAUUUGGAAUCUGCACCUCAGAACCUAUGGUGUAACAUAAAAAAAAAGCACCAUAGCACAAAUGCGUCUGUGCAACUAAAGUACUGAGUAUACAUGGGGGUGGUUAAAUGCAUGGGGUUUAUAUGUAUCAACAUGCUGACUAAUAUGAAUAUAAGAAUACAUACAUACAUACAUACAUAUGUAACUGCUACUGAACUCGUGGAGAUACUGACUACUUGAGUUUGAACUCUGAUAACAUGAGUUUUGUGAUACUGAGAUACUGAAUGACUGAUAACAUGCAUGACUGUAUCUAAUAGUCAUUAAUUCUAGUGAAUACUAUCUGAGUUCCAAACUGUAUCUGAACAUCUAAGUCUAAGAUCAGUCCUAGCUAACGAGUGAUCUCUGAAACUGAAAAUGAGGAUACUCGACUGAAUCUGAGAUUGAGUUCAAGUGUGUCUACCAUGUGACCUCUAGAUCUACUAAUAAGCAUCUGAAUAUGGGACCAAGCCUAUCUGAUGGGAUAGUCCAGGAAUCAAUGGAACUAUUUGAGUUCCUUACUGAGAUCGAUGAUUGUAUCUGACAGUCCUGAUUCCUAAUUUCUACUCUGAAGACUGAUACUGAAACUGUAACUGUGACUUUGGGAGGUAGUAACCUAACUGACAUGCCCCGAUACUAUACUUAUGGGGUCCAAUCUUUGCCCUGAUUGGAAGGGUUUCAAUAUCAUGCCACGGGUAGAGACCUCUACUAUGGGCAAGCCUCUCUGACGGGUGACCCUGAAUAGGAAAUCAAGCCUAAGAAAAUAUAAUAGUCAAGUAUAGCCUUAAUCUGAUGGGUGACUCCUGUCCUGCACUGGCUACAUAGUUCUGGAGUACAAGGAUUUCUGCUAACGACUCUGCCUUUAUAACAGGAAAAAUCGCCAUCCCUGUACUCGCUCGAUGCUAGUCCCUACUCCCAACUGAAAGACUCUAAAAAGAUUAACUGUGCUGAACUGUCUAACUAAAUUAAACUGAUUUAUAAACUGAUUAACUAAGCUAACUAAGAGUAUUGAAACUACUGGGACUACUGAACUACUGAGAUUUCUAAGUUUUUCUGAGUCACGUGACUAACUGAAAUCUAUGGAGCAUAGCUUGACUGAGGAUGUCUUGAAACAUGACACUAGCUUUAGGCACGCAGCUAUAGUUUUCGAGUUGAAGUACCCCCAGGAUUUGAUGAAAGGAAAUUGACACACAUGAAUAACUUUAUCAUAAGAGUAGAGUCCACAAUUCAUAAUAUCAUAAGUAAGGAUUUCAUAAUAAGAAUAAUUCUUAAUAAACUAUCACAUAAUCGGGAAUGCACAAAACAUGUAUAUACUUGUAUGGCUUCAAUAACAUGGUCAUUCCAUAUCACACCAAUAUCAUGAGCACCUCAUACAACAUCUUCAAUUCAAGACAAGAGAAUGGGGAUCACAUUGAACAUAAACUUAGAACAUGGAAUAGUCAUUUAGGACUUAUUAUGUCAUAAAUGCAUGAUUUCUAUUCCCUUAGGUAUUUUCACAAAUACCUUACAUGCACAUCUUAGGCAUAGGUGGAUUCAUCAAGAUUACAAAUAUUCAACCACCAAUUUCACAUAUUUAUACAUUAAAUACCACCAUAUCCUCACAUAAAACAUACAAAGAUCCCAUCUUAGGCAUUAUCAAACUCCAACCACAUGAACAUCAACCACCAACAACAUAAACAUCAUAAUACAUAAUUUAAAAGAUGGUUAUUGAGCUUCAUGGACGAAAGGAGUCCAUUAAUCAACUCACGCAUACCUUAGAAGGAAGAUUCUUGAUGAUUGACGGAGGAAUUUCCUUAAAAUUAGAUCUUCAAGCUUAAUUAUGCAACCCUAGUUGUUUUUCUCUUUUGGUGCUCUUGGAUGAUGAACUUAAAAUGUUAGUAGGGUUGUAAUGUAAUUAGGAGCUAUAUAUUUCAUAGGGUUAAGUUUAGGGAUGUGUAAGGAGUGUUAAAAGACUUAAUUACCCUCAAAAUAACUCAAAACGGAGUGUUUAAGUCACUUGAAACCAUAAGAUAUGCGCCGCAUAUGAUAUUACAUAUAUUUACAUAGGCGUCACAUAUGAUAUCCCCUAAAUUUACAUAGGCACUGCAUAUGAUAUCAUCUAUAUCUACAUAGGUGCCGCAUAUGAUAUCACCUAUAUUUACAUAGACACCGCAUAUGCUAUUGCAUAUGCUUUCCAGCGGCCAUUUGCAAUUGGUUAGGCAAUGCACUCUACUUCGCAAAGCCAUAACUCUUAGCUCGUGUGUCGGUUUUUUAUGAAAUUGGCAUCGUUGGAAAGCUAAUUUGAUUCUCUAUAAUUUUUUGGGGAGAAAUAUGCAGAAAUACCAUAUUAACAUCGAGUUAUACGUAUUAAAAUAUGACCCUUACAAAAUUAAACACUAAAACUUGAUGGAUUCAAAAACUUUUAGCUUGUAUUACCUUAAGUGACUCAUAUGAACAUGAUUAAUGCAUCAUAAUCUAUAUUAUGCUAGGAUACUCAUUGUAAGUCAUGUAAUCAAGUAUGAAUCACAGGAUAGGAGAUUUCAUAUAUAGGAAAAAUGGUUCGUCUCCUAGCUUAGAAACAUGCGAGGUAUUACACCUUAGUUAAGGAAUUAGCUGCUCAUAGUUGUGAAACAAUUUGUAGAAUUCAUCAUUGAAAGAAUAGAAUCAAUAUCAAAACAAUAUACAAAGAAAACCCAAAUUCUCAAAUCAAUAAAUCAACCAAAAUCCAAGAAGAAAGGAAUCCCAAGAUUAAAUCCUAAUCUUGGAAUCAAUAUAUGUUUGUAAUAGUAUAAAGUGCAUAAAUUUUACCCCUAGGGCAUAUAAUAGCCUCCAAGGGCCUAAACUAACACAAACUAACUAAAAUAUUGUCAAAAAUGUGUUUAUAGAUUACAUGUAAACCCUAGAUAUUGAAUCCAAAAUAAUCUAGGAAAGCUAAGUUGACGAACACCUACGGAUCCAUCUACGAGCCGUAGGAUGCACCAACGGACCUUAGGUAGGGCCCGUAGGUAGCAGGCCAAAAAUAUUGCUCUAAAAAUCUUCCUCUGACAUCUACAGUCUGCCACUUAUGCCUAGUAGGUAGUGCCAACGCCUAGUAUGUGGCGCCUACGCCCAGUAGGUUCCAGGUCGUACGUAGAAGGUCCAAAAUUUCAUCUUCUAUUUCUCUGAACUUCAACCUUCUGUAACUUAUGGUCUGUCACUUACUCUAAGUAGGUGCCAUCAUAAGUGGUAACUUUUCAGCUUUAAACUCUAUUUUCUUUUGGUUAGCUCCAUGAACCUAGUUUCCUUCAAAAUCAACUAAAAACACAUCAAAUAAAACAAAAUAGCCUUAAGUACAUGCAUAUUUUUGUAGUAUUAAGAAUCUAAAUUUCUAUGAAACUAUGGAACAUCAAGACCUUUAGUAUAAGUCUCUAAGUUAUAGAACUACGGCAUCACUAUAGGUUAUAAGGGGUCAUCCACCAUAUUAGGAGUGACACCCUAGUCCUUUUGGACACCAAUUUAGUGGAUAGAUGUCAGUCAAUAUUCGUACCCUUUGUAAGGUACUGAACACCCAUCCAACUUGGGAUAUAGGAUGAACCCCAGUUAGCUUAGAUCGGGGUACGUCAGUUAAUGUUAGCUCCAAAAGUUCAGAGUUUAUGUUUCACUCUAAGAUUUUGCAUGACCUUGUAUUUAGUUAUUUAACUUAUCUUUCAGUAUAUAUUUAUACUGGGUCUUGCAUUAGUUCACUAUGUCUCAUGCAUUAUGCUCAAUUUAUGUUAGUCAUUUCCCAUUUUACAUACUCAGUACAUUCAAAGUAUUGAUUGCAUUUUUUCUGCACUGUAUUAUUUUAUAAUAUAUGUUCUGAAACUCAGCAUCCAGAUCAAGUUUAGUACACUUCUAUAAUAUCAGCUAUAGUAUUUCGUGAGUCCUUAUCAUUCAAGGAUUGGUUAUUAGUAUUAUUUUUCUUUAUUAUUUUAUUUUUAGAAAGUUGGAGUUAGGUUUAGUCUUGUCCUAACAACUCAUAUGAUUUAGAGGCUUACAGAUAGAUGUCUAAGUUUUCAGCAUGUUGAGUAUUUUAAGAUAAUCUUAUUUUUGAUAUUAAGUAUUUGAUUUUAUUAUUAUUAUUAUUAUAUAUUAUUAGUUCAUUUUAGUUUAGCUUUCUCUCAGUGUAUUACUUCUUUAGUAUUCUUAGUGUUAUGUUAGGCCAUGUGUUAGCUUGGAGUCACUCGUGACUCUGAGCAUCGUGUUACGAAUAGGGUCAGUCUUGGGUCAUGACAAACUUGAUAUUAAAUAAUAAGGUUUAAAGUGUCCUAGGGUGUCUAAAAGUCACAUUAAGUAGAGUCUUUUUCAUGGGUAUGAAGCACGCCACACGUAUGAGUAAAAGUCUAUUAGACUUUUUAGGAAUGCCUCACUUAUUUUGUUAGUCAUGUCAUACGAUAGAGUGUGAACUCUAUUAAAUUAUUCAUCAAACUCGUUCUCUACCCAUUUACAGAAAAGGCCUCCUAAGUGAAAUAACGAAAGAAGAAAUAGGAAUUAACAUGCACCACCACUAGUUCUAAAAUAUCCUCUGAAUAAAUAUGUCUCCCAUGCUGAGUAUAGGGUUAUUUUUACCUCAUUAGCCUUGUCAAUGACAGCUCAGAAUUGUGAAUAUGGCUGCUACUAGAGUCUAAGACUUCACCCAAAAUUCUCAUAGAACACUUCUUAGUUUCUACUCCAGUCAGUAGCUCAAUCAUAGCUAGAUAGGUAUAUAUAAAUUGCCCAGUAACAAUUUCCCAGAAAGUUACCUUACUCAACUUUGUAGAGUUAGACAUGACCAAUUUUGAUUUUAUUCUUUUCAUGGAUAAGCUCUACUCUUGUUAUGCCUUAGUUUAUUUUCGAAAAAGUGUAGUCCAAUUUUAGUUUCCAAAUGAACCAGUCAUAGAGUGGAUGGUAGUACCUCAGUACCUAUAGGUAGGUUUGUAUCUUUCUUUAAGCCAAGGAAAAUAAUUUCCAAAAGAUGCAUCUAUCAUCUUGUUUGACCUAAGGACUCGAGGUCUGAAACCCCAAGUUUUGAGUCAGUUUCAGUAGUAAAAGAAUUUCCAGGAGUGUUUCCUGGAGAUAUGUCAAAGUUUCUCCCGAGCAACAAAUUGACUUUAGAAUAGAUCUCCUUCCAGAUACCUAGUCGAUCUCAGUUGCACCUUAAUGAUGGAUUUAGUCGAUCUUAAGAAAUUAAAGGAAUAAUUGAAGGAUCUUUUAGACAAGGGUUUAUCAGGCCUAGUUCCUCUCUAUGGGGUGCUCCAGUUCUUUUCGUGCGAAAGAAAUAUAGUUUUCUCAGAAUGUGCAUUGACUAUCAUCAAUUGAACAAAGUCAUAGUCAAGAAUAAGUAUCCCAUCUCUAGGAUUAAGGACUUGUUCGACCAACAUCAAGGUGCCAAUUUUUUUCUCUCAAAUAGACCUCAUAUUUGAAUCUCACUAGGUCAGAGUUAGAGAAUAUGAAAUUAUAAAGACAACCUUCAGAACCUUGUAUGUUUAUUUCAAAUUUGUUGUUAUGUCUUUCAAAAUAACGAAUAAUCCUACAGAUUUUAUGGACUUAAUGAACAGGGUGUUAAAGCAGCCCUUGGACGUGUUCAUUAGUUUUCAUAGAUGAGAUCCUUGUUUAUUCUCAAAGUGAGGAUGAACAUGCAGAUCACUUAAGGGUUAUCUUGUAGACUCUUAAAGAUCACCAGUUAUUCACUAAGUUGAGCAAGUGUAAAUUUUGGUUGAAAUUAGUAGCAUUCCUUUGUCAUAUUAUUUUUUUGAAGGCAUUCGAGUUGAUCCUCAAAAGACCAAAGAAGUGAGGAACUGGACUAGACCCAUCUCUCCAAUAGAUAUCAAAAGUUUCUUGGGUUUAGCUAGUUUCUAUAGAUGGUUUGUUGAAGGAUUUUCCUCUAUUCCUUCUCCCAUGUCCAAACUAACUCAAAGAAAAGUCAAAUUUUAGUGGUCCAAUUCUUAUGAGAAGUGUUUUUAAUAGUUAAAGACUCGGCUCAUCACCGCUCCAAUUUUGACUAUAGCCGAGGGUUAAGAUGGUUUUCUGGUUUAUUAUGAUGCUUCAAGAGUUGGACUUGGAUAUGUACUAAUUCAUCAGAGUAAGGUCAUAAUAUAUGCCUCUUGACAAUUCAAUCCUCAUGAGAAGAACUACUCACCUUAUGAUCUUGAGUUGGCAGCAGUUGUUUUUACCUUACAGAUUUGGAGAAAUUAUCUUUAUGGGGUUUAUGUUGAUGUGUUCACUAAUCACAAGAGACAUCAAGUAUGUGUUAAUCCAUAAUGAACUAAAUAUACACUGGGGAAGGUGGCUAGAGUUGUUGAAGGACUAGGAUAUAAGUGUCUUGUAUUAUCCAGGUAAGGACAAUGUUGUGGACAACACCCUAACCAGACUAUCUAUGAAGAGUAUUGAUCUGUUAAGGAUUAGAGGAAAGAGUUAGUUCAUGAGGUUCAUCAACUUACUAGGUUAGGAGUUUAGUUGGUUGAUUCAAUUGAAGGUAAUAGUUUGGUUUAGAAUGGUUUUGAAUUAUCAUCAAUAGCUGAGGUGAAGUAAAAGGAAUAUAGUGAUCCUAUUUUGCUUAGGUUGAAAGAAGCAAUCCAUAAUUAAAAGGUUGAGGUUUUUCUUCCCAGAGAGAAAUGAUGUUUUUCAUUAUCAGUUCAGACUAUGUAUUUUGAAUGUGGAUGAAUUAAGAAAGUAGAUAUUAGCAGAAUCUCAUAGUACCUGAUCUAUAGGAAGCCUAUUAGUGGAAUGGCAUGAAAAAAGAUCUCAUAGACAUAGUGGCUAAGCAUCCAAAUUACUAGCAAGUUAAGGUUGAGCACCAGAGACUUGGUGGUAUGCUUCAGGAAAUCAACAUUCCUACUUGGAAUGGGAAGUGGUGAAUAUGGAUUUCAUUAUAGGGUUGCCUCGUACUCAUCGACACGUGACGAGAUAACUAAGUCAGCCCAUUUCUUGCCUGUUAACACUUCAGAUUUAGCCAAAGAUUAUGCUAAACUCUAUAUUAGGGAGUUGGUUAAAUUGCAUGGAGGCCUUUUGACUAUUAUUUUAGAUAGAGAUACCCAAUUUAACUCUCAAUUUUGGAGGAUUUUUCAAAAGGGUCUUGGUACCUAAGUUCAUCUUAGUAUGACUUUUCAUCCGUAGAGAGAUGGUUUGGCAGAGAGGAAUAUUUAAACUUUAAAGUACAUAUUGAGAGUGUGACUGAUUGAUUUUAAGGGUAUUUGGGAUGAUCAUCUUCCAUUCAUUGAGUUUGCUUAUAAUAACAGCUAACAUUCAAGUAUUUAGAUUGCCCCGUUUUAAGUGUUGUAUGGUAGGAGGUGUAUAUCUCCUAUUGGUUGGUAUGAGGUUUAUAAAGCUUUUUUGAUAAGGAUAGAUUCAGUACAUGAGGUAACAAAAAAAGUUUAGUUGAUUAGACAAAGGCUGAAAACUGCCUAAUAUCAUCAGAAAUCCUAUAAAGAUGUAGAGAAGAGAGAUCGAGUUUGAUAUUAAUGAUUUUGUCUACUUUAAGGUUUUGACCAUGAAAGGGGCAAAUAAAUUUGUUGAGAAAGGAAAUAUUAGGACCUGGUAUUUUGGUACUUAUAAGGUCUUGAGUUGAUACAGUAAUGUAUCCUAUAAGUUGGAGUUGCUUAAAAAGUUAGUGUCAGUGCAUCCAGUCUUCCAUGUUUCCUUGUUAUAGAAAUGAAGACCCAGCAUAAGUCGUUCCUUUAGGGAGUGUGGGUGUAAAAGAUAGUCCCUCUUAUGAAGAGCUCCUAGUUGAGAUCCUUGAUUGUCUAACCGUAAGUUGAGAAAUAAAGAGGUUUCUUUGGUAAUGGUUCUAUGGAGAAAUUAGUCAGUUGAGGGAGAUGCUUGGGAAAUAGAAGCAAAUAUGAUGACUAAGUACCCCCAUGUUUUCUCUUCAAACUCAGUCCCAACUUGAGGUAAUAGUUCCCUUAAUUAAUUAAUUAAUUAAUUCUAUUCUAUCUCAGGCCACCCAACUAUUUUCAUGUCAUAACAUGUAUUCAUGAGUUUGGUUCAGUCCAUACAUCAAUUAUAGAUUUAGUCAUCUUUCAUUGUUCAACUCGUAAGAUUUCAAUGUAAAAUUUUAUCUUUUCCCCAAGUGCUUCACCUUAGUCAGUUUUAUUCAUGGAUGAAUGAUCCCAAGGGGUGAUAUUGUAAUACCCCAAGAUUUUAAGAACGUGACACACCAACAUAUAGACAAUUGAAUUAGCUUUCCGAUGCCACCUGUCUCGCCCUAAUCCGAUAUCAGAUUAAAUAAUUAUGGACAAUUUACUUAAUCACUGUUAAUUUUCCAUAACGAUGCCUCUGGCGAUGAAUCAUUGUGAGACUAAAUAAGUCAUCAAGAAGGCUCGCCAUCAUGAUAGUGAAGAAUCAGACAACUGAGACUAGUGAGAACGAUCUAAACAUACGAUUCAUUAUCAGCCUACAUGAGUAAUCAGGUGGAGUCUUUUUCAUAAUAGUGAGGAGCCAAGAUUUUGGUCCUCCGAUCGCGACUCCAGGUCGUGACUUCUACGAAUCGUAGCCUGAGCUAUCGUGAUUGCUUUUAGAAAUUUGCUGAACAUUUUAAAAGGGGAUUUUGGUCUCUUCUCAUUCUUUUAACAUCUAAUCCACGUUGUUUUGGGUAUCCCAAGGUAAAAUAUUAGGAUUUAAAACUACCUUAAGCCCUUAUUCACUCAAAAUUCAUCGAACACUCAAUUUCAAAUAUACAAAAGAAGCGACUUUCCUCUCCAAAGUGCAAUUAGGGUUAUUCAACAACCAACUCCAAUUCCUAAGAAUUCAACAAGGAUUUCAUCUCUAGGUAUGUGGAAUUUCAUCAAUGGGUUCCUUCCACCCAUUGAGUUUCAAUGAUUUCUCUGAUACUUAAGAUAAAUUCACCUUCAAGUUUAGGGUUCCAUAAAAAUCACGAGUUUCAUAAUUCUUCAAUUUAUUUGUUGAAUUAAACCAUGAAUAUAUGUUUCCCAUAAGUUUAAGACUUAACAAAAAACUUAAUCAAUGAACCAAAUUACUCCUGAGAGCCUCGAUAUUUAUGCAACACAUCCUACCAAAUCAUAAAUCCACCUUAUGAAAUUCACCAUAAUGUCAAAGCUCAAAUCCAACCUCGUUAACUUAAAAUGUUGAUUUUAUCAAACUUUGCUUUCAAAAGUAUUUAAUUACCUCGAGAACAAUGUCGCUCAUCACAUCUUUAGCUCUCUGAGGACAUGAGCCCAAAUAGGGAUGCAUGGAGGUCGAGGCUAAGGUAGACGAUUAAUAAGUAGUCGAAUAAUUUCUUUUUACUAAUGGAGAACAUGGUACAAGAGCACCUUGUAUGUUCCCUCUUUUCCUUAUCAAAAUUAUUAUUAUUAUUACUGUAUUACUACUAUUUCUUUUACUUACGGUUAUCUUACUAUUUUUACCUAUCAUUUUAAGAAUAUUUUCACUAUAACUUUCAAUUUUACUUGUCAAAAAUGUUUUGAAAAUGCUUUUCUUAAAUUGAGGGCAUAUCAAAAACAAUAUCUCUACUUCAUGUCUAGAAUACUCCCAUAUAAGUUGUACCAAAAUCCCAUCACAGGGAUACGACUGAGCCAUACGAGUCAUACCCCCUGAUACAAGUGGUACCCUCUACAAGUACCCAAAGCCUUAACCUUUGGAUCAAACACUGUCCAGCAUACGACUCAUCCAACCAAGUCAUAUCCAAAGCAUACAAUCCAUACCUUUCACUUGUACCCUUGACAGAUUUAAACCCAAGGAAGAUUUAGACAUUGUCCACCAUAUGAGUCCUGGGUAAGACUCAUACCCUGGCUUACAGCUCAUGGUGAGCAACUCGUACUUAGAUCCAACCUAAGUAACCAAGUGUAAGAUUAAUUUAAGGAACCAAAUAAUCUGUAACCACCAAUAUGACACGUACCCCUAAAUAGUACUCAUUCUAGUAACUAAAAUACAUCCCACCAACCAGUACUGGUCAGAAUAUGACUGGAUUAUACCAUUUGUACCCCAACAUACAACUCGUACCCAUGAGUCGUAUUAGGUCUAGAGAUCAGAAAUUUAGGAAAUUUUCUAAGUUCCAGAAACCAAGGUGUUUUAACAAGAAUCCCAUGAUUAAAAGCUAAUCCUGGAAUCAAUAUAUGUUUAUAAGAGUAUAAAGUGCGUAAACAUUCCCCUAAAGGCAUAUAAUAGCAUCCAAGGGCCUAAAAUAGAAUAAACUAAAAAAAUGUCAAAAUGGUAUUUAUAGAUUACAUGGAAACCCUAGAAAUUAAAUCCAAAAUGAUCUAGGAAAGUUGAGUCGACGGACACCUACAAGUCGUAGGUGGAACCUAUGACCCUUAGGUGGGGUCUUUAGGUAGUAGGACAAAAAUCUUGCUCUUUGAAUCUUCCUCUAUCACCUACGGUCUACCACCUAUGCCGAGAAGGUGGCUCCUACACCCAGUAGAUGUCCGGCCGUAGGUAGAAGGCCCAAAAUUUAAGCUUCUGAUUCUCUGUACUUCAGCCUUCUAAAAUUAUGGUCUGUCACUUAUUCCAAGUGGUGCCAUCAUAAGUGGUCAAUUUGCAUAUUUUAACUCCACUUUCUUUUGGUUAGCUCCAGAACCCAGUUUCCUGCAAAACCAACUCAAAAACACAUCAAAUAAAAUAAAAUAGCCUUAAGUACAUGCAUAUUUUUAUAGUAUUAAACAUCAAAAGUUCUUUGAAACCAUAGCACAUCAAGACCUUUAGUAUAAGUCCCUAAGUUAUACAACUACGACAAUACCGUAGGUUUGAAGGGGUCACCCUUGGUAAGGUACUGAACACCCAUCUAAUUGGGGUUAUAGGAUGAACCCCAGUUAGCUUAGAUUAGGGUAUGCCAGUUAAGAACACCCAUCAAAUUGGGGUGAUAGGUUAAACCCCAGUUACCUUAGAUUUGGAUAUGCCAAUUAAUUUUAGCUCCCAAAGUCCAUAGUUUAUGUUUCACUCUCAGAUUUUACAUGACCUUAUAUUCAGUUAUUUAACUUAUCAUUCAGUACAUGUUUAUACUUAGUCUUGCAUUAGUUAACCAUGUUUCAUCCAUUAUGCUUAUUUUAUGUUAAUUAUUCCCUAUUUUACAUACUUGGCAUAUUCAAAGUAUUGAUCGCAUACUUUUUCUGCACUAUAUUGUCUUAUAGUAUAGGUUCUAAAACUCGACAUACGGAUCAAUUUUGGUACACUUUAAUGCCAUUAUCUAUAGUAUUUGGUGAGUCCUCAUCAUUCGAGGACCAGUUAUCAGUAUUAAUUUUCAUUAUUCUUUUAGUUUCAGAUAGUUAGAGUUAGUUGUAGGCUUGUCCUAACAACUCAUAUGAGCUAGAGGAUUUCAAAAAAAUGUCUAGGCUUUUAGCAUAUUGAGUAUUCUCAAAUAAUCUUAUUUUUGAUAUUUAGCAUUAGAUUUGAUUAUUAUAUAUUAUUAGCUUAUUUCAGUUUAGCUUUCACUCAGUUUAUUACUUCUUCAUUAUUCUUAGUAUUAUGCUACAUCAUGGGUUAGCUUGGAGUCACUCAUGACUUUGAACAUUAUGUUAUGACUAGGGGGAAGACUUGGGUCAUGAUAAACUUGUUAUUAGAGCAUUAGGUUAAAAGUGUCCUAGGGUGUCUGAAAGCCGCAUUAAGUAGAGUCUUUUUCAUGGAUGUGAAGCACGCCACAAGUAUGAUUAAGAGUCUAUCAAACUUUUUAAGAAAGUCUCACUUCUUUCAUUAUUCACUUUUUGCAUUAUAGAGUGAACUCUAUUAAAAUUAUUUGUCUAACUCAUUUUUUACCCAUUUAUAGAAAAUGCCUUCUAAGUAAAUUAACAAAGAGAGGAAUGGGAAUAAACAAGUACCACUGCCAGUUCUGAAAAACACUCUGAAUGAAUAGGUCUCUCAUGAUGAGUAUAGGGCUACUUUUACAUCAUUAGCCUUGUUAAUGACAGCUCAGAAUAAGAAAUAGUUAAUGAACUAACCAACUCAAUUAUGAAUACGGCUGCUACUAGAGUCUAAGACUUCACCUAGAUAAAUACUCUGAUAUUCUUGGGUCUAAAAUUGAAUAGGACCCAUAAUAAUUCCUAGAAAGUAUUUAGAAAGUUCAUCCUUACCAGCUAUUUGGCAAGUUCAGUAAGUUGAAUUUUGGUUGAAAUCAAUAGCAUUCCUUAGUCAUAUUAUUUUUGGUGAAUGCAUUUUAGUUGAUGCUCAAAAUACCACAGUAGUGAGAAACUAUCCUAGACCUAUCUCUUCAUAAGAUAUCUGGAGUUUCUUGAGUUUAGCCAGUUACUACAGAUGGUUUGUUGAAAGAUUUUCCUCUAUUACCUCUCCUAUGUCCAGACUUACAAUGAAGAAAGUCAAAUUCUAGUGGUUUGAUUCUUUUAAGAAGAGUUUUCAGGAGUUGAAAACUUGGCUCACUGUUGCUCUAAUUUUGACUCUAGUGGAGGGUUAAGAUGGGUUUGUGGUUUAUUGUGAUGAAUAAAGAGUUGGAUUUGGAUAUGUGUUAAUGUAGCAGAGCAAGGAUAUAUCAUAUUCCCUUAGACAACUUAAACCUCAUGAGAAGAACUAAUCAACUUACAAUAUUGAGUUGGCAAUAGUUGGUUUUUCCUUACAGAUUUGGAGGCAUUAUCUUUAUCGGGUUUAUGUUGAUGUGUUCACUAAUCACAAGAGACUUCAAGUAUGUGUUCAGCCAGAAUGAUCUAAAUCUUUACCAAAAAAGAUGGCUAGAGUUGUUAAAAGACUAGGAUAUGAGUGUUAUGUACCACCCAGGUAAGGCCAAUGUUGUGGCAAACACCCUUAAUAGACUAUCUAUGUGGAGUGUUAGUCACAUUGAGGAUGAGAAGAAAGAGUUCAUUCAUGAGGUUCAUCAGCUUACUAGGUUAGAAAUUCAAUUGUUUGAUUCAACUGAAAGGAAAUAUUUUUGUUCAAAAUGGUUUGGGAUCUUCAUCGGUAGUUGAGUUGAAGUAAAAGCAACAAAGUGAUCCUAUUUUGCAUAGGUUGAAAGAAGCAGUCCAGAAUUAGAAGGUUGAGGUUUUCUCCCAAUGGAGAAAUGGUGUUGUUUGUUGUUAGUACAGACUAUGUAUUUCAAAUAUGGAUGAAUUAAGAAAGAAAAUAUUAGUAGAAGCUCACAGUUCUCAAUAUUCUAUUCGCCCAAGAUCCAUUAAGAUGUACCAUGAUCCGUAGGAAGUCUAUUAGUGGAAUGGCAUAAGAAAGAUAUCAUAGAAUUUAUUACUAAGUGCCCUAAUUACCAGCAGGUUAAGGUUGAGCACCAGUGUCCUGGUGGUAUGCUUUAGGAAAUCAGCAUUUCUACUUGGAAGUUGUGAAUAUGGACUUCAUUAUAGGGUUCCCCGUACUCGUCGACAACAUGAUUUUAUUUAAGUUAUCAUGGACCAAAUGACUAAGUCAUCCAUUUCUUGCCUCUUAGCACUUCAAAUUUAGCUGAAUAUUAUGCUAAACUCUAUCUUAGGGAGUUGGCGAAUCUACAUAGAGUCCCUUUGACUAUUAUUUAAGAUAGAGGUACGCAGUUUACCUCUCAAUUUUGGAAGAUUUUUUAAAAGGGCCUUGGUACCCAAGUUCAUCUUAGUCCAACUUUUCACCCACAAAUAGAUAGUCAUCCAGAGAGGACUAUUUAAAUAAUAGAGUAUAUGUUAAGAGUUUGCAUGCUUGAUAUUAAGGGUAGUUGGGUUGAUCAUCUUCAUUUGAUUGAGUCUGCUUAUAGUAAUAGUUAAAAUUCUAGUAUUCAGAUGGCCCUGUUUGAAGUUUUGUAUGGUCGGAGGUAUUAAUCUCCUAGUGAUUGGUAUGAGGUUGGUGAUGCUUCUUUGAUAGGGCUAGAUUAAGUACAUGAGGCAAUGGAAAAAGGUUAGCUGAUUAGACAAAGGAUGAAAACUUCCCAAAGUCGUUAGAAUGCCUAUGCAGAUGUAAGGAGAAGGGAGCUCGAGUUUGAUAUUGAUAAGUUUUUACUUGAAAGGGACUGCCUCUACUCUUAGUGCUUGGCAUACACCGAUGUAUGCCUAAAUAAUAAAUGAAAAAAAUUAAAAACCUGUGAACUGACCAAUUCAAUUUAUAGUUCAAACUGUCUUUCCUGACAACGGCACCAAAAUUUGAUAUCGCUCAAAACUACACCACUAGUAAAAGUAUAAUGUGGUCAAUUGCAAAUAUAAUAACCCAACAAGUUUUGGGUUGAUCCCACAGGGAAAAUAUUAACAAUUUCUAGCCUUGAUGUAAUCCAUGAGCAGUAUAGGAAAGUAAAUGGGGGGUUUUGUUUAUUAGUAGCAAAUAGUAACUGACUUUGAGUAUUGUUUGGUUGAAAUAUAUAUGAGAGGAAUGCUAGGACUGUGUUCCCCAUGGCUUUUCAACUACAUAAAUUUCUCGUGUUCAAUUAUUCUAUUGUUCUACAUGCAAAGCCAACAAGUGAGGUAUUAUCUAGAAGAUAAAUUUCACCUGUUACUUGAUUAUCGCCUUAGAGUGUUGCCUUAUUUCCCCUUGUUCUGGAUCCCAUCAUACUUCGUUAUCGUACAACUGUCUUAAUCCUUGCUACCCAAUCACAAGCUUCUUGGUUAUCGAAUGGAUGCGAAUACAGGCUAUCUUAAUAUCUGCAACUACUUGAGGCUAAUUAAAACAAAGGAGAAUUAAGAUACCUACAGAAACCCCAGAAAAAUUGGAUCUAACACUUUCUCUAUGUAGCUAUCCACCAGGGUUCUCACAACCCUAGAUAAGGAUAUUAUGCACUCAUGUUUGUGUAAGAAACCAUGAUUACUAAUGAAGAACGCAUAAAAUCAAUUGCACAAAAUUUAGAUGAAUAAACUCCUAAGUCUUUAAUUGAAUAAAACCUUAAAUCUCAAGAAAAUAAUGUAGUAGAAAGUAAUUAUGUGUAAAUAAUGUCACAACACGUAACCUUGUAAAAGAUAAACUCUAGGGUAUUUAUAGUGUCUUAAAAUAACAUAAAAAUCCUAUUAAAAAUGGAAAAGGUAAAGUUAAGUUGGCAGUCGGUAUGACUAAGUCUUCACUCAUAUCCUAAGUUUAUGAGUCAUACCCUGCCUUAUCAUAAUCAGUCUAGUGUCUAAUAUUCCCAUGACUUUAAUUCUUUUUUCAUCUUAUGAUUUUAGCUUACGAGUCAUAACCACGUAUACGACUCGGAUUCUUCAUCCGUAUCCAUCUGGGACUUUGAUAUUUUUCAACACUGAACAUUGGUUGGGAUACGACACCCUAUACUAGUUCUGCUAAAAUUUCCAACUCAUAUCCUUCUAAUACUUCAAUUCCUAGAUAGUAUCUUGUAUUUUGUUAUUCUCACAUCUUCAGCAUAUGACUCAUACCCUAGACUAUGACUAGGAUACGUGAGUCGUAUCUUCAUCAUUCUUUGUUUCUUGAUUUGGAUUUUUCUUUUGAUCCUUGUACGAUUCAACAUACAAGUUGUAUCAAAUGAUAAUGACUUGAGGGAAUACUUGUAUACUGAUCAGAGUUGAUCUUUUUCAGGGUUUUUUUCUCAUUUUCCUUAGAUUAUAUUAUAAACAUAUUUUACCUGCAAUUCCCACUAAAAUGCAUCAUAUCUAACAAAACACCCUAAGUUCACACAUAAAUUUAUAGUUUUAAGCAUCAAAAGUGUCGUGUUUCCAUGCCACAUCAAGGGGAAAAUAGAUUUGGUAAGAAAGUAAAUCUCAGUUCUUGCUAUAUUGGACCUUAUAAGACAUUGUAUUGAUACAGUAAUGUAGCCUAUGAGUUGUAGUUGCUUAAAAAGUUAGCAUCAGUGCAUCCAGUCUUCUAUGUUUACUUAUUAAAGAAAUGAAUUGGUGACCCAGCAUAAGUCAUUCCUUUAAGGAGUAUGGGUGUGAAAGAUAGUAUCUCUUAUACAGAGAUCCUAGUUGAGAUCCUUGAUCAUUUGAUCAUAAGUUGAGAAACAAAGAGUUUGCUUUAGUAAAGAUUCUGUGGAUAAAUCACUCAGUUGAGGGAGCUACUUGGAAAGUAGAGGUAGAUAUGAUGACCAAAUAACCCUAGGUUUUCUCUUCAAACUCUGUCCCAACUUGACGGAAUAAUUCCCUUAAUUAAUUAUUUAUUUCUAUUCUAUCUCAGGCCAUCCAACUUUUUUCAUGUCAUAACAUGCAUUUAUUAGUUUGGUUUAGUUCAUACAUCAAUUAUAGAUUUAGUCAUCAUUCAUUGUGCAACUCGUAGGAGUUUAAUAUAAAAUUGUAGCCUUUUCCCCAGGGCUUUAGCUUAGUCAGUUUCAUUUAGGGAUGAAUGAUCCCAAGGAAAAGAUAUUGUAAUACCCCAAAAUUUGAAGAACUAGAUCCUUUAACAUAUAGAAAAUUGAAUUAGUUUUCCAAUGACACCAGUAUCAUCUUUAUUCGAUAUCACGAUCAAUAGUUAUGGUGAAUUUACUAAAGCACUAUCAAGAUACAACUAACGAUGCCGCUGAUGAUGACUCAUCAUCAUACUAAAAAAGUCAUUGGGAAGGAUCUUCAUUAUGUCAGUGUAGAACCAGACAAAUGAGUCUAUUGAUGAUGAUCCUAACAUAUGACUUGUUAUCAGCCUAGUCAACGAUAGAGUCAUUGUCAUAACAGUGAGGAGCCAUGAUUUUGGUCCUCUAAUCAAGACUCUAGGUCACGAUUCAUGGUUAGACCCUAUAAGUUGUAGACUGAGUUAUCACGACUGCUUUUAAAAAUUUGAUGAAUAUUUUGAAAAGGGGCUUUUGGUCUUUUCCCAUUCUUUUAACAUCUACCCACGUUGUUUUGGGUAUCCCAAGGAAAAAUAUUGGAAUUUAAAAUUACCCUAAGCCCUUAUUAACUCAAAAUUCAUCUAGCACUUAAUUUGAAAUAGACCAAAGAAGUGAAUUUUCUCUCCAAAGUGCAAUUACAGUUAUUAAACUUCCAACUUCAAUUAUAAGGAAUUCUUUUAGGAUUUUAUCUCCAGGUAUGUGGGAUUUAAUCAAUGGGUUCCUUUGACCCAUUGAGUUUCAAAGAUUUCUUUGAUACUCAAGUUAAAUUCACCGUUCAAGUUUUUAGUUCCACAAAAAUCAUGAGUUUCAUAAUUCUUCAUUUUAUUUCUUGAAUUAAACCAUGAAUAUGUGUUUCUGAUAAGUUUAAGCAUCUUUCCAUACUAAAAAACAUGAAAUACCAUUAUAUUGAUAAAAUUGUUAAUUCUUAGGAUUGAGUUAUGAAAUUCCCUAUCAAGUUUAUAUUUGGAUAUUGUCAUAUUUAGUUACAUUCAUUAGAGAUGGUAGGUUAUGAACACCCGAUACCUAGGAAUUCAUGCAGACAUUAGUUUACAUAUUCCUGAGUACUAUAGAUUAUGUAUAUAUUGUUAUUUUCAGAAUCUAUUAUAUUGAGUAUAUUAGUUAUUAGUGUCUUUCUAUUGGGAGUAGUACUUAGAACUAAGCGAAUGCCGGGAUGAAGGCUCACCAUCCAUUUUAUUGAUUUAUCACAUUUAGAGUGCCAGGAAUAAUACCCUUUGGAGCCAGAAAGUAUCGAGGACGUAGGUCUCGGUCAAACAAAUACAAAUGGAAAGCAAAGUAAGAAUUUUUAUAUACUUAGUAGGAAGCCUACGUGCAAAGAUAGACACUGGAUAGAAAAACUUUAUAAUUAGAAGAAUUGUAUAGGAAAAUAAGGAGCAAAUUACAAAAGAUGCUAGUUGAGUUGAUGUAAUAGAUCAGAAGAUUGAAAUAAAAUGUGUUCGUUUGACCAAAAAAGAUUUUGCUGCUUCAACUUGAAAUAAGUCUUAUUCAACUUAAAUUUUAUAUUUUCUUUUAUUUCAUCUAUGCAAGUGAUUUUAUGCUUUGAGUUGGUUAUUUUGACAUGAUUUUCUAUGAGAUGAUAAUUGAUUAUGAUUUUGAGUACUAUGUACCAUGUUUACAAGAAGUCCAAGCUUAUUAGUUUAAGUCACAAAGUAUUACAACAUGACUUAAGUUUCAGUUUUUAUCUUAUGAUCUUAGAUAAGACAUGAAAUUCACAAGUCUCUUUAAGAAUAUUAUUUAAGCAAGAAAAGUAUAGUUGGUUUUUAGUUUAUAGACCCAUAUGCUACUUUAAGGUGAAUUUCAUAAGUAUGAGCACAAGUAUAUUUUUAAAAGUACUAUUUAGAACUGAGAAGGGAAUAUGGGUUUAGCGCAUCCAAUUUUAGAUAAACUAUGUGCUACUGUAGGUUGCCUUGCCAAAGCGUGUUCCCCCUUUCCUAAAUGGGCUCAUGUUUAGUGAUCACUCCAAGUAAUGUUCUAUUCCGAUGGCAAGGGUAGAACAACCCUCCUUAACAUGGGUUAGAUAUUGAACUCCGUGUUAGCUCAUAUGGUUUAUCUUAGUUAUGAGAAUCUCCCACAAAAGUAAAGAUUUUGGAAACUAAGAGUAACAACUUAAGAUUUUUACUCAAAUAUUAUUUUAUGAUUUUUGCUUAUGUUAUUUCAUCUUUUGGAUUUAUGCAUGAUUAAGGCGAGUCCAUCUACACUUAGCAAGUAUGUUUCAAUUUUGGUAUAUAAAACUUUCAACUUAUUACAUUCACUCCCAUAUACUCUGUACAUUCUAGAAGUAUUGACCACGUGUAUAUUUGUAUGGCUACUUUGUUUCAUAAUGUAGGUUUUGGUGCUCGUCCCUAGCAAUAUGAGUAAUAUGGACACCAUUUUCUACACUUAGAUAGUUGGUGAUCCUCAUAGUUUGAGAGACAAGCUUUGGUUUAUUAAAGAUAUUUAUGGUUAUAAUUUUAGUUAUUUAGUUUUCAGUUUAAAUCUGCUAGGGUCUGUCCUAGUAGUUCUUCAGUUUUAUUUAGAUGUUUGUCAAGACUAGUUAGACUGUGUAUUUCUUUCAGCUUUUUGUAGACUUAAAAGUUAUGGCAUAGCCACAUUUUGGUUGAGAUUAUUCAUUUAGUAGAAUUCAAAAAUAAAUUUCUUCCAUUCGUGUUCAUGUUUCAAGUUUAUGUAGUACAGUUCAGAACUUAAUCAAUAUCAUGGGUUAGUUUGGGCUACUCAUAGUUUCAAGCACUAUGUAAUAUUUAGGGGUUAUCUUUGAGGUGUUACGAACUUGGAUUCAAACCCUAAGGUUUUGAAGAGUCCUAGGGAGUCUGAAAAGCCGUGUUUUGUAGAGUCUUGAUCAUGGGUGUGAAGCAUGCCACACUUAUAGGGAAGAGAAUACAAAAUAUACUAGGAUUCAUCCCUUCUUUCAUGUCUCUAUCAUGCUUUGAAGUGAUCUCUAUCUGCUUUAAUUUGUACUUUCGCAUGAUAGAGAAUGACUCAUCACAGAGGUUAUGCACACAUAAAUCGGAAUCAACUGGCCCCACCCUCACCUGUAGAACCUCCGUGUGAAAAUAUUUAUCAUGCAAAGUUUCAGGUUUCUUUCCAAGUGCUGGAUCGGGUUGUGUAUUCAAAUAUUUAGAGCAAUCAACACGCCAGAGUACUACUUCACUAGAAUGGUAAUAGAGCUAUAGCCAAAAUUGGAGAUUUUAUAAGGAUGAAUCCACCUAAGUUCUUUGGGUCAAAGGUGAAUGAGGAUCCUUAGUUUUUCAUUGAUAAGCUGAAGAUUAUGCUUAGUAAUUAAGAGUAAAAUAUGGAAUUGGAUUCUUAUCAAUUGAAGGAUGUGGCUUAUGACUAGGUUAUUGUGCAGAUGGAAAGUAGGGGUCAGAAUGCAGCUCCAAUGAGUUGGAGUAUAUUUUAGAUGGAUUUUAUAGAUAGGUUCUUUCCUAUGAAAAUGGAGAAAGCUAAGGUGUAGGAUUUUAUGAAUCUAAGGCAAGGCAAUAUGUUGAUGAAGGAGUAUUACCUUACUUUCACCCAGCUGGCUAAGUAUGAACUACUGUUGUUGCUGGAUUCAAGAGCUUGUAUAAGUAUGUUUGCCACUAGUGUGUAUGACUUAGUAGUCAAGGAUUGUAGGACUUCCAUGUUGAUUAGGGAUAUAGAUAUUGCCCAAUUGAUAACUCAUGCUCAGCAGAUUGAGGGGCUGAGAAACUAAUAGAAAGAGAGAGAAGGAACAAGAUGGCUAGGACUGGACAGUUUGAGUACAAUCAAUAGAGAUCAGGAGAGGCAAAUUAUUUUCAGUUUCAAGGUCACUCAUCAACACUUGCACCAUCCUCGGCGAGUGCUCCUGCUCCUAGAACUAAGCAAGAGUAGUUGGAGAAGGCAGUGGAUACUAGAUCUCAGGGUAGUAUUUUUGGGGAAAGAUCUAAAAUGACGUAUGCUAGGUAUGGUUAGAACUAUCUGGGCAAGUGCUUGAUGGGUAGGGAUGGAUGUUUUGGUUGCGGAAAAAUGGGAUAUAGGAUCAACGAAUUUCCAUUUUCUAAGAAGAAAAGUAGAGAUGCUCAUCUUUAAACUCAGUCCACAAAUUUAAUAGUUCAAUUAGGCUGCCCAGUUCCACAAUAGGGUGCAUAAUCCAACGCUGGCGGUAGUCAGCGUCAGAACUAGUUUUAUCCAAUACCGUCCUAUUAGGAGCAGGAGAGAUCCCUAUAUAGUCACUGUUAUACUUUGUACCUUUCACUUCACUAUUUAUAUAUUAUUAGAUCUGGGGUCAAACCUCUUUUUUAUGACCUCAUUUGUUGCUGUGAAUUUUGGUAUAAGUCUCUAGAGUCUUUUUGAACCCUUCUUAGUUUCGACACCAGUGGGUGCGUCAGCUGUCGCUAGAGAAUUUAAAGAAAGUUCCCUACUAUAGUUCUCCAUAAGGUCACUUUAGAAGAUUUAAUAGAGCUUGAAAUGAUAGAUUUUAAUAUUAUUCUUGGUAUGGAUUGGCUCCAUUCAUGAUAUGCCUCAGUUUUUUGUCACACUCGAAUGGUGAAGUUUGAGUUUCCUAAUAAGUCAGUCCUCGAGUGGAAGGGUAGUUCAAUACCUCCAAAAGAUCAUUUUAUCUCUUAUCUUAUGGAUUGAAUAUAAUAUAAAAAGGGUAUAUUUACUACUUAGUUCAAUUAAAAGAUACUAAUUAUCCCAACCAUUCAGUCAGUCCAUGUGGUCAAUAAGUUUCCAGAAGUCUUCCCAGAGGAUUGACUCAGUGUACCUCCCGACAGAGAAAUAGAGUUUGGAAUUGAACUUCUUUCUAAUACCCAGCCUAUCUCUAUUACUUCCUACCAUAUAGCUUCAACUAAGCUUAAAAAGUUAAAAUAAUAGUUCAAGGACCUCUUAGAUAAGUGGUUCAUUAGACCUAGUGUCUAUCUGUAGGGUGCUCUAAUCUUAUUCGUGCACAAGAAAAAUGGUACUCUCAAAAUGUAGAUAGAUUAUAUGAAGUUAAACAAAGUCAGCAUCAAGAAUAAGUUUACCAUUCUUAGAAUUAAUGAUUUAUUAGAUAAUCUCUACGGAGCCCAUAGGUUUUCAAAGAUUAAUCUCAGGUCAGGGUAUCAUCAAUUGAAGGUUAGAGAGUAUGACAUCUAAAAGACUACUUUUAGAACCUGGUAUGGUCACUUUGAAUUGGUGGUUGUGUCUUUUGGACUAACAAGUGCUCCUGAUUCUGUAUGGACUUAAUGAAUAGGGUCUUCAAGCAGUAUUUAGGUAUGUUUGUCACUGUCUAAAUAAAUAACAUACUUGUAUAUUCUCGAAGAGAGGAGGAGCAUAUAGACUAUUAAAAAAUAGUAUUGUAAACUCUUAAGGAUUAUCGGCUUUAUGCAAAGUUUGAUAAGUGUGAGUUUUUGUUGAAGUCUAUUACUUUUUUAAAGCAUAUGAUUUUGGGUGUUGGUAAUCAUGUGGACUCUCAAAAAAUUAACACAGUAAGGCACUAGCCUAGGCUCAUUAGUUCAUCCAAUAUUAAGAUAUUCUUGGAUUUAGCCGGUUACUAUAGGAGGUUUGUUGAGGGUUUUUCCUCAAUAGUUGCACCAUUGACUAAGUUGACACAAAAGAAGGUAAAAUUAAUAUGUUCGGAUGGAUGUGAGAAGAUCUUCCAAGAGUUGAAGGAUAGAUUGACUUCAACUCCAAUGUUAGCAUUUUCAGAGGGGUUAGAUGAUUUUGUGGUGUAUUGUGAUGCCUCUAGAGUUGGGCUAGGUUGUGCUUUGACACAAAAUAGAAAGGUAAUAGCCUAUGCCUCUAGAAAUAUUAAGGACCAUAAGCAGAAUUAUCCAACCUAUAAUUUAGAGUUAGCAAUGGUUGUGUUCUCUCUAAAGAUUUGGAGAACUACUUGUGUAGUGUGCAUGCUGAAAUCUUUACUGAUCAUAAGAUCUCCAAUACAUAUUCAUGUAAAAACAGUUGAAUCUUUGUAAGAGAAGGUAGUUGGAGUUGUUAAAAGAUUAUGACAUGAAUGAGCUUUACCAUCCGGGUAAGGCGAAUGUGUUGUAAGACAUGCUGAGUAGGUUUUCUAUGGGUAGUAUGGCUCAUGUGAAAACAAAGAGUAGGAACUAUCCAAGGAAGUGUAUAGAUUAGCCCAUUUAGGUUUAUGUCUUCUUGAUAUGGAUGAUGGGGUUGCAGUGGUUCAAAAUGAUUUAGAAUCAUCCUUAGUAGUGGAAGUAAAAGCGAAGCAGCGAAGUGAUCCCACACUUAGACAAAUAUUGGAAGCAGUUCAGCAAUAGAAGAUUGAGGUUUUGUACCAAGGGAGAGAUGGUUUCAUUCAUUAUCAAGGUCAUUUUUGUAUCCUCAAUUUUAAUAGAUUAAGAGAAAUGAUAUUAGUAGAGACCCAUACUUCUAAGUAUUCGAUUCAUCCUGGUGCUACCAAGAUGUACCGCGAUCUGUGGGAAAUUUACAAAUGGAAUAGUAUAAAGAGGGACAUAGAGUUUGUGGCCAAGUGUUCCAAUUAUGUAUACGUAAAGAAUGAGCACGAAAUACCCAGAGGUACACUUUAGGAUAUUGGUAUUCCUACCUAUUAGCUAGAGGUCAUUAAUAUGGAUUUCAUUACUAGACUUUCUUGCACCUGACGUUAGUAUGAUCUGAUUUGGAUUAUCGUGGAUUGGAUGAACAAAUCAAACCUGCUAAGACUUCAUAUACAAUGGAAGACUAUGCUAUGAGGUAUAUUUGCGAGAUGGUAAGACUACAUGGGACCCCCUUUUCCUUUAUUUCAAACUGAGGUACAUAAUUCACUUCCCAAUUUUGGCAAUUAUUUCAAAAAGGCCUUGGUACAAAAGUGAAUCUUAGUACAGAUUUUCAUUCAUAGAUAAAUGGUCAGGGUGUGCGUACGAUUCAAACAUUGGAGUAUAUGUUGAGACCUUGUGUGAUGGAAUUCAAAGGAAAUUAGUAUGAUCAUCAACCCCUAAUCGAGUUUGCCUAUACCAAUGUUAAAUGUUAGUAUUAAGAUGGCUCAAUUGUAUGGGUGUAGAUGCAGAUCACCUAUAGGUUAGUUCAAAGAUAGUAAAGCAGCUUUAGUGGGGAUAGAUUUCGUUUUUCAACCUAUGGAUAAAAGUUGAUUCGUGAGAGGUUGAAAACUAUGCAAAGUCAUCAAAAAUCAUAUGCAGAUAUAAGGUGAAGAGAACUAAACUUUGUAGUGGGUGACUGUAUGUUUUUAAAAGUAUUACCUAUGAAUGGAAUAAUAAGAUUUGGGAAGAAAGGAUAACUUAGUCCCUAAUAUAUUGGUCCCUAUGAAAUAGUGAAGUGAAUUGGAGAAGUUGUUUAUGAAUUAGACCUUCUCUCAAACUUAGCUGUUGUUCAUCCAGUUUUUCAUGUGACGAAGUUAAGGAGGCCCAAAUUUAUAGUGCUUGUGGAAAGUAUUGGGGUGAAAGACAGCUUGUCCUAUGAAGAGAUUUGAGUUCAGAUCUUUGACUAAUAAGUUUAGAGGCUAAGGAACAAAGAGGUUCCAUCAGUGAAAGUUCUUUGGAGAAAUCAAGCAGUUGAGGGAGCAACUUGGGAAGCGGAGGAAGACAUGAUGAGUUGGUAUCCUCACCUAUUCACUUACAGCAUAGAGACGAUAUGAGGUAACAAACUUAUCCAUGUCUAAUCUAUUUGUGCACAUCCUUACUCUUACCUUAUGAAGUUAAGGUCCAUUGAGAAAUUUUAGUAAUAAACUACUACUAGAGAUGAGAGAUUAGAGUCUUAAUGUAAAACAAGAUUCAUAUCUUAUCUUAGCGAGCCCAGAAGAUAGUUGUUAUUCCUUUUUGACCUUCAUUCAAGGAUGAAUGUUCCCAAAGGAGAGAUAAUACUAGACCCUAAAAGUUUCAAUGAUUUUUUUUGGUAUCUCCUUUGUGUUUAUGUUGAUUUUUGAGUUUAAUUAUGAUAAGAAGCGAUAACAGGAUCAUUAAGAAGUAUUUCAGAAUUUUCAAAAUGCAUUUGGUGUCAUAUUAGAACCCCAAACUAGUAAAGUUCUACGAUAAGAGGGUGACACGCUUUGGUCUUACCGCGAUAAGGGUGUGUUGUGCCCUUAUAGUGGUGCGAUAAGGGUGUGUGAUGACAAGGGUACAAAAACACAGAUUUUUUUUUAUUUGGGUCGAGGGCUUUUCGUCUUUUACCUAUUUAUUGGCUUCCACAAUGUAAUAAACACAAAACCCACCCUCAUAACUCAGAUUAAAUGCCUUCUCUUCUCCUCAAACCCUCAAGAACAUCAAGGAAGAGUUUUUCAUCAAAAUUUAAGCUUCCAGAGUCCAUUUUCAAGAUUUCUUCAAAAAAUUCAAGAAGUUCAGGUAUGUGGGGUUUGAACAAGAAUAUUCUUUCAUCCUUAUGCCCAAAAUUUUGAUCUCUACUUGAAUUUAAAGAUUUGAUCUACAAGGGUUCAUACUCACUUUUCUUGUGCUUCAAGAUUUUGGUGUUUCUACUUAAAUUAAGUUUUAUUUAGCACACAUUUUAUGCUUACUUUUGUUUUAUCCAUGGGAGUGAUUUUCUGCAUUGACUUGGUUAUUUUGACAUGAUUUUCUUUGAGUUGAUAACUGAUUAUGGUUAUGAGUAUUAUGUACUAUACUUACAAGAAAUCCAAGUUUAUUAGUUUAAGUUAUGAAGAAUUACAACAUGACUUAAGUUUCAGUUUUGAUCUUAUGAUCUUAGAUAAGAUAUGAAAUUCACAAGUUCCUUUGUGAGUAUUAUUUUAUAAGAAAAGCAUAGUUGGUUUUCAGUUUAUAUAUCUGUAUGCUACUUUAAGGUAAAUUUCAUAAGUAUGAGCAUAAGUAUAUUUUUGGGAGUAGUAAUUAGCACCGGGAGAGGAAUGUGGAUCAGCGCACCCUAUUUCUCAUAAGCUACAUGCCACCGUAGGUUUUAGGGGUCUCGCCAAAGAGUGUUCCCCCUUGCCCAAAUGGGCUCAUGUUUAGUGAUCACUCCAAGUCAUGGUUCUAGCCUGAUGGCAAAUGUAGAACAACCCUCUUCAAUAUUGGUCAGAUGUUGGACUCCAUUCUAUCUCACAUGGUUUAUGUUGGUUUUGAGAAUAUCCCAGAGAAGUAAUGAUUUUAGAAACUAAGUAUAAUGACUCACAAGUUUUACUCAGAUAUUGUUUUAUGAUUUUUGCUUAUGUUAUUUCAUCUUUCGGAAUUUAUUCAUGAUUAGGGCCAUCUACACUUAGCAUGCUUGUUUUCAAUUUUGGGAUAUUACACUUUCCACUUAUGGCAUUCACUGUCAUAUACUUAGUACAUUCUAGAAGUAUUAACCCCGUUAUAUAUCUGUGUGACUAUAUUAUUUCAUAAUGUAGGUUCUGGUGGUCGUCCCCUGCAGCAUGAGUAACCGUGGGCACCACUUCCUACAUUCAGACAGUUGGUGAAUCCUCUUAUUUCAAAGUGCAUGCUUUGGUCUAUUCCAGAUGUUUAUGGUUAUAAGUUUAGUUAUUUAGUUUUGAGUUUGGGUCAUCUAAGGUUUGUCCUAGUGGAUCUUCAAUUUUAGUUAGAGGCUUGUCAAGACUAGUCAGACUUUGUAUUUCUUUCAACUUUUUGUAGACUUGAAAGUUAUGGCGUCACCACAUUUUGAUUGAGAUCAUUCAUUUAGUUGAAUUUAGUUAUAAAUUUCUUCUGUUUUUGUUCAUAUUUCAAGUUUAUAUAGUAGUGUUCAGAGAUUAAUCGAUAUCAUGGGUUAGUUUGGGCUACUCGUAGUUCCAAGCCCAUGUAACAUCCAGGAAAGGUAUCUUUGGGGCACUACAGGAUGAUAGAACAACUUAUGGUACCACUUGAAAAUGGCGCACUUGGGUUAUAACCAAGCUUUGAUAGUACAAGAAUAUUUCAAUGCAGUACUACACAAUGAAGAUAAGUUGAGGGUAAUGCAGUAACUCUUGUAGAGGUAGUACAUUUUAAAAAAUUCCUUGAAGAUUGCCUAUUGAAAGAGAUACCUAGUAUUGGGUGAAAAUAUACUUAGUGUAGCCAAGAUAAUAAAAUCUUCUCUAAAAUAGACUGGUGUUAGUUAAUGGUGAAUGGAUGAACACUAUGCCUGACAUGAAAAUUCAUGUGUUACCAGAGGGGGUUAGUGACCACUGUCCACUAUUGAUAAAAUAUGUUUGGGAUAAUAGGAUGUAUAAAACCUUUAAAUAUUGCAAUAUAUAGAGCACUCAUUGCUCAUUCUCUCAGCUUAUGAAGGACCUCUCAGAGAUCCAUGUUGCAGGCUAUAGCAUGUAUAUGGUAAUGACAAAGUUGAAAAUGUCAAAGUAUGAAUUUAGUUUGCCACAACUAAUGCCACUUGACAUGAUCAUGCAGUUUGAGGAGAAGAGAGUUGGAAAAAAGUUUCAAGGCUCUUCUUACCUUGAUAAGUAAAUAUUAAUUUAAAGUAGUAUAGUUACUUGGCUAAGGCUUGGGGGUAAAAAUACUAGAUGCUUCUUUUCUUUGUUAAAGAGGAAGAGGUUACUACAAUCAGUGAUUCAACUAAAGGAUGAACAUGGUCAGAUGCAACAUAAACAAGCUCAAAUCUCACAAAUCUUUAUGAGAUAUUAUGAAAAUUUUCUUGGCAAUACAGGUGGACCAAAUAAGAAAGAAAGCAGGAGAAUUUUUGAGUUGGGGUCAAGACUGAAAAAGGCCCAUCGAAUCCAACUUUUGCUCCCCGUCACCCCACUAGAGAUUAAGAAGUCACUAUGGAGUAUCAAUAUCGAUAAGAGCGCUGAUUUUUAUAGAUAUAGGGGAUAUUUUCUUAGAAUAGAUUGGGAUAUAAUAUGUACUGAUAUUUAUGAUGCUAUACAGGAAUUCUUCCAUAAUGGAGAAAUGUUACAACAAUUGAAUGCCACUAUGAUGUAACUUAUACCUAAGAUUGAUAGACCUGAGAAUGCUAAUCAAUUCAGGCCUAUCUCAUGCUAUAAUACCUUGUCUUAAUGUAUAUCAAGGAUCAUAUCCAAUAGAUUGAAAUGUAUGUUGCCAAAUUUAGUGAACUCUACUUAGGAUGCUUUUGAUAAGGGUAUAUCACUUAUCCAGAAUCCCGUUAUGUCAUAAUCUACUAAGACAUUAUAAUAGGAAGGCUACCCUAAGAUGUUUAAAAAGUCAUAUGACAUUGUGAAAUAGAAGUUCAUGGAGGAAAUGUUGGAUGGCUAUGGUUUUUCUCCAAAUUUUACUCAACUUGUGAUGCAAUGUAUGAUAAUUAUUAGUUUUCCUAUAAAGGUGAUAGAUAUGGAUGUGCUUUCUUUAAAGGCAAAAAAGGGCUGAGGCAAUGGAAUCCAUAUCACCCUUGAUAUUUUUUUAGUUAAUAGAGUAUUUUUCAAAGGUCAUGUCUAGAAUAAGUGCGUUACCUGGUUUUAGGUUCCACCUAAUGUGUCAAGUAAGAAUGCUUACACAUCUCACAUUCGCAGAGGACUUCAUGAUAUUUUGCAAAUGGUAUAAGCAGUUAGUGUACAAGAUCAUGGAGGCCAUCAAUUGGUUCACAGAGACUAUUUGUUUAACAACUAACAAUGUAAAGUUAAACAUGUACAUAGAAAGGGUGUUUGUAGAUGUCAAAAGGAAACCUUUUGAUAUCGCAGGAUUUGUUAUUGGAUUAUUACCUAUCAGAAACCUUGGACUACCAUUUCCUUAGAAAAAACAGAGCAAACUUAAUUAUCAUCAACUUAGCAUAAAGAUCACUAAGAAGUUGAGAGCUAACCAACCAGACAUCUAUCUUAUGCAGAUAUAUUUUAGGUAUUGAAUUCAGUGAUUUUCUCACUACAUAAUUUUUGGGGAUCUGAAUUCCUGUUAUCUCAAGGUGUGCUAAAAAUAAUAAAGUUAAAAUGGAGGGGAUUUUUAUGCGGUCGCACCAAAGAAAAGAAAAAAAAUUCCCUAGUAAAAUGACAUAUAGUUUGUUGUCCAAAAUCACAAGGGGAUUUACUCAUUAAGAGUUUCAGACUAUGGAAUUUAAAUGCAAUGGAUAAACUGAUACAAUGGAUGCAGUAGAAGAAAGAUCAACUAUGGGUUUAAUAGAUACACAACAUUUAUAUGAAAGAUAAGUGAGGAUAUAUGGACUAAUUAACCUCAUAAGGAUUGUAGUUGGUACUGGAAAAACAACUGAACAAAAUAAAUUAUCGCAUACAAGUGUUGUCCAAUCAAGGUAGGUGUAGUCUCAUAGCAACAAAAAAAUAUUCAAUCUCUAUUAGCUAUAAUGCUCUGAUGGGAGAAAAGAAUGCAUGGAGGGGUGCUAAAUAGUUAUAUAGCCUAUUAUGUAAGUAUUGGUUUCUUUUGUGGAUAGCAAUUCAAGGAAGUUACUUUCUAAAGAGAGGUUGUUAUAGAUAGGCAUACAAUGUGGGAAUUAUAAGUAUAUCAUUUAUGAUCAGAUGCUGGUUGAGAAUGACACACAUUUGUUUGCAGUAUAUUGUGUAGCUCAAAAAAUUUGGCAAAGAACUACUAAUUGGCUUGAGAUAAAUGCAAUGAUCAAUGAUGUUACGAACAUAAUCCAAUUGAUCAGACGAAAACACUAGAAGAGGUUCUGAAAGGAAACUAUUGUAGCCAGCUAUGGUGCCCUGAUGUAUAAAAUUUGUCUAGCAAGGAAUUGAAAGAUAUUUAGGGGACACAAUGUAAAUGUUAGUUUCUUAAUUAAACAAAUACAAACAGUGGAGGAGGGAGUUAACAUGUAUAGAUGAUCAAAUUUUAUAUACUAGGAAAUGUCGGCUUUUAUAGACAAAAUUUGUAACUAGACAUCUCGAGGCUUAGGUUAGCUAGACACCCCUCCCCGAAAGUGGUCAAGCAACUAAUUGCUCCUUAGGUAUAUUCAUUCGUUGGUGUAGUAAUAUUUACGAUUUAUUGCCAAAAAAAUAUUUUUAAUAUAUACUUCAUAUUUUUAAUCUCCUUAAUGAAAAUUUUGAUUCCACCACUAGUUUCAACCCCACUUAUGAAAUCUCAUUGAAUAUGUUAUUAUUGUUGUUAUUUUCCAUGCUAUAAUUCUUGUAACCUCUUGGGUGAAACAAUACGAGUUUUAUGCUGAAAGAUUUCGUUCUUGGGAGAUUAUGGCUUGAUCUAUUAAGAGAACAAAUAUUUUAGAGAAAAUUUUAACAAUAAUAUUCAAUCGCAAGCUAUACGAAAGUCGUUACAUAAGAAUGGCGCUAAUUUUUAAAAAAUUGCUAAAUAUAAGGAUUAAUUUGAUCGAGAAGUAUCUUGGAGGAUAAAUGUAUAUAAUAUCCAAAAAAAAUAAGGAUAAAUUUCAACAUUUUUCCAACCUAGAAAUAUUGGUUGCCGAAGAAAAUAAAUUGAACUCUCUCUGUCCCAUAUUAGUUGAUCACCUUAUCAUAAAUAGUUGUUCCAAAUUACUUGACAUAAACUAAAUCAAGAUAGAAUUAAUGGUAUUUUUUCUAUUUCACUCUUAUAAUUAAUUCUUUUUGAAAGUGUUAUGUGAAACUAAAUUUUAUUAAAUCUAAAUACGUACAAAAUUUGGAUUAUAUUAAAAUUCAAAAUAUAUUAGUCCAACUAAAUGUAAUGAAUUAAUAUGACUGGCUUAAUUAUUUAAAUCCAAACAAAAAUGGAUUUUAUUAAUUCCCAAUUUCUUUUUUUGGGUUAGUCCAUUGAUUUGGCCAACAAAUGAUGAGCUCAAUUUGUUAAGCCCAAGAUAUUAUCAUAUUAUAGAGGCCCAAUUAAGUGUCAUGUGUCAAAUGAUGUGGCAUGCCAAAUUAAGUGAAGUAGCUAAUAGGAUCAUGCCACAUAUCAAAAUAAUGCAACAGGCCUAGUAAAACCAAAAUCCCAUAAAAAUAUGCCAUAGCACUUAAAUCUGAUUGGUUAAAAGAAAUCCACCUUCACCAUAACUCUUUCUUUCCUACAACUAUUAAAGGGGUCUUAUAAUUCAGAAAAAGUACCAAGAAUUCUAACAAGAAGCAAGAGAGAGCUCAUGGAUCAAAUGUCAUAGAUUUCUCUACAAAUUUAAGCAUUCAAGAUCUAGUUUAUCAAGAUUCAUGAUUAAGUCCAUAAGAUUCACAAUCAAGAUCAAAGGUCCUUGAAUUCAAGUACAAGUCGAGAUAAAGUUCAUCAAAUCCACAAAUCAAUAUCCAAGAUCAAGACCACAAGAUUCAAGAACAAACCCAAAAGCUCUUGAAUUAAAGUACAAGUCAAGAUCAAAUCCAUCAAAUUCAAAAAUCAAGUUCAAAUUCAAGAUCAAGCUCAAAGUCUUGGAAUUUAUAUCUGAAAAGGUGCAGCAGAGGAUUCUUAGAGAUUGUAACACUCGUAUAUUAAAAUUAAUAAAAUAAUUACUGUGAUAUUUUUCUCAUCUCGAUUACUAUAUUUUCAACUCGAAAUUUUAUUUUUCCACAAAUUCUGGCACAUCUAGUGGGACGAUAUCCACUUCUUAUCUCAAAUUUUCCAACAUCAAUGUUUAAGAACCACAAAUGACUUCCAAGAAGGUCACUUCUCAAUCGACUACCUUGAGGCUAUUGAUUCCAAAUUCUCUGCUAAAGUAGAUAACAUCCUUGGCGUUACUUUUAGAAGCUUUGAACCUGUCACAAUAAACACAUCAAGUGUCAUAUGCACCGACUCCAAUUUUUGGAUAUUUAACCCCAAAAGGAGAAAGGUCUCAUGCAAUUGCUUUAAAAGAAGAAAGCAAUUUGGUAGAAAUAAUUAAGAAGACUGUAGCUCUACUUGGGAACUCUGGUUUGAAAAACUCUGCCACAAAAAAUGAUGGUCAUUCAACUAACGUAUUAUCUCCGCAUAAGCUGAGAACUUAAAAGAUCUACUCAUGUAAUAAUCUGUAUUACUCUCCAACAUCAUCAAUGAUCAUGCAAACAAUGGUAACUGAUGCCUCAACUAUGGAUGAGUAGCUUGUAAAGUUAAUAAAGGCAAUUGAAGGUCUAACCAAAUAUAUGAAAAAUCAAGAUGCUCUAAUUGAUAAAUUAGUGGAUAUGAUGGAUCUCUUAAUAGAUGGAGACUCUAUCUAUGCACCUGGGAAAGAUUCAGAAGUGAAUAAGAUAGAUCAUCCUAUAAAACAAACACCACCAGCUAAGAAGAUAAAAGUUUCAUCCAAGGGAAUGAUCCCAAAUGAUCAAUGGAGAGAGUUUAUUGAAAGAACCCUCAAUGACAAUUAACAUUUCACUACCAAGUCAUUCUUGACAUACGCUAGGCCCUAAACUGCAAGGAUUAAUAGCUUUAAAAUUGUAAUACCCCAUACUUUUCCUAGCUAAUUUCAUCUAAAAAAUGUCUAGUAUUAGCUUAUAAAUUGAAUGAUGGUUAUUCCAUGAGGAAUUUUCAAGAUUUUCACUUUUUGUCAUAUGGGAAAUUCAAUAAGAUUUCCAUCAAUAUAAGAUUUGCCUAAAUCCGAUAAUCGGGUCAAAAGCUACUCUUAUUUUAAGUUUCCAUCAUAAAACAACGCCAUAUUAGUCAAUGGUGCGCCGCUCCAUAAGAAGAAAUGUCAUUUGGCAAAUUCUAGUAUGGAUCCACGAUUAUGGCGCAUCACGCUAGAGCCCAAAUUUAAAAUUGUCCUUUUACAGUGUCUUAGCGUGAUUUCCUCCGCGUCACUCCAAAGUUCCAGGUUACAAAAAAAAGGGUGACACGAUGGCUCUGCGUUGCGCCAUCCCUUAGUUUCCCCAUUGUCAAAUUCUAGUGACAUGGCGCGAUAGCACCGCGUCGCGCCAGGGGUUCAGUUUGGGAAAAUUUUACUAAAAUUAAAUGACGUAUCUAGGGUUAAAAUGGUCAACUUCCCACCCCUAUUUAAGCCCUUUAACACGUGAUUCAACCAUUUUUCACCCAAAAUACACUCUCUUUUCUCAAAAAUCUCUCAAGAAUAAGCUAGGGUUUUCAUAGAAGAUCUAAUUUCAAGAAAUUUUUUCCGUCAAUCUUCACGAAACCACGAACUAAGGUAUUCAUAGUGUUUAUUCAUAGACUCCUUUCAUCCAUGAAACCCAAGAAUCCCUUUUCUAAAUUCAAGUUUAUGGAUUUUCUUAUGAAUUUCAUGAUUAGGUUGCUCUUGUUCAUAUGGAUAAUGAGAAAUUGAAUUCUACUCCAUGUUAGGUGAUAAAUUCUAUAUAGGUUACAUUAUUAUAGAUAUAGAUUCAUGCAAAGCUAUGGUUAAACCCUUGAAUGAAGAAAUUAGAAUUGAACCUUGAUGUUUAAUUAUUGUACAGUGAUGUUUUCACGUACCAUGCCUGUAAUAUGUUUGAUUAAAUGCCUAGAUGAAGAAAAAGUGCCUAACUAGCAUGAUACAAUGAAAUCCCCAUGUAUGUACAAGUUAUACCUAUCACGUGUUUUGAUGAAAUGCUUUUAUAAAUGUAUUAUGGAUUAUGAUGUUAGUUAUAUGUUCAAGUAAGUUAUUCUUGGUCAGUUUCCUUCCAUUGAGUCUUGGGGGUACUCGUACCCGAAACAUUAGUUGUGUUCCUAGAUCCAAGUCAUGUUUUCACGAUACUCUCAGUCAAGCUAUGAUCCUUAGACUUUAGACUGUCUUAUGACUCAGGAAAAUCUUCUUGAUCUCAUGACCUCAGUAAGUUGUCAGAUAUUAGUAGUAUUCCGUAGUCAACAAAAAAUUAGAAAUUUAGCUCAUGCUCAGUUCAGUAAAUCAUGUUCAGUGUCCAUUCAUAUGGGAGUAGAAAUUAGCAACGAGUGAACCCAAGGAUGGGGACACAAACUAUCAGAUGAGGGUGUGAUCCUUAGCAGUCAUCGUUGCGUUCUAGAAAUAUGUAGCAAGCAUAAGUUGAGACAUCAACACUAUCCUACAUGGUAAGGUCAUAGCCUAUAUCUCCAGAUAGCUUAAAUCCCAUAAAAAGAAUUACCCUACUCAUGAUCUUGAGUUAGCCGCCAUAGUCUUUACCUUGAAGAUUUGGAGGGAUUAUCUCUACGGAGUUCAUGUAGAUGUCUUCACAGAUCGUAAGAGUCUUUAGUAUGUCUUUUCUCAGAAAUAUCUCAAUCUUUGUUAGAGAAGGUGGUUAGAUCUCUUGAAAGAUUAUGACAUGAGUGUCCUCUAUCAUCCGGGAAAGGCCAACAUAGUGGCCGAUGCUCUCAGUAGACUAUCUAUGUGUAGUGUUUAUCAUGUUGAGAAUAGUAAGAAGAAGUUAGCUCAGGAAGUCAAUCAGUUUCUAGACUGCGAGUUCGCUUAGUCGAUACAGAAGAGGGUGAUAUAUGGGUUCAGAGUAGUUUAGAAUCAUUUAUAGUUUCUAAGGUGAAAGAAAAUCAAGAUAGAGAUCCCAGCCUUGUCAAGUUGAAAGAGUCAGUUCUGGAUAAGAAAGUAGAGGUUUUCUCCCAAGGAGGAGAUUUCGUUUUGCAUUGUCAGGGCUGUCUCUGUGUUCUAGAUGUAGAUGACUUAAGGUAGCGAAUUCUUGUAGAAAUGCAUGGUGCAUGCUACUCUAUUCAUUCGUAGGCCACAAAUAUGUACCGCGACUUACAGAGAAUCUAUUGGUGGAGUGCGAUGAAGAGAGACAUUAUAGAGUUUGUGAAUUAGUGCUCUACAUGUCAGCAAGUUAAGAUAGAGCAUCGAAAUCCUAGUGGGUUCAUGCAGGAGUUCAGUACUCCUGUUUGGAAGUAGGAAGUUGUGAACAUGGACUUCAUGACGGGUUUGCCUUGAACUCCUCAUCAGUAUGAUUCAGUCUGGGUCAUUAUAGACAGAAUGACCAAAUCAGCUCAUUUCCUUCCAGUUCAUACCUCUUAUUCAGCCGAGGAUUAUGGAAAAAUCUACAUCAAGGAGUUGGUAAAAUUGAAUGAUGCUCCGUUAUCUAUUAUCUCAGAGAGAGGUACCCAGUUCACCUCUUAUUUCUGGAAAGUAUUCCAAAAGGGUCUUGGUACCCAAGUUCAUCUCAGUACAACCUUUCAUCCUUAGAUAGAUGGUCAAGCAGAAAGGACCAUUCAGACGUUAGAAGAUAUGCUAAAAGCGUGUGUAAUUGAUUUCAAGGGAAUCAGGGAUGACCACGUACGUUUGAUUGAGUUUGCAUACAACAAAAACUAUCACUCCAGUAUUCAGAUGGCUCCAUUUGAAGAUCUAUAUGGUAGGAGUUGUAGGUCUCUAAUUGGUUGGUUCAAAGUUAGUGAGGCCUCAGUCAUAGGUCUUGACUUGGUACUUGACACCAUAGAAAAAGUCCAAUUGAUUAGAGAAAGAGUCCGAGCUGCUCAGAGCCGACAGAUGUCUUAUGCAGAUGUUCAUAGAAAAGAUCUUGAGUUCGAGAUUGGUGACUAUGUCUAUCUAAAGAUCUCUCCUAUGAAGGGAGUGAAGCGGUUCGGCAAGAAAGGGAAACUCAUACCCUGAAAUAUCGGUCCCUUCAAGAUUCUCAGUCGAUUCGGCAAAGUAGCUUAUGAGCUCAAAUUGCCUUCAGAUCUAGCCUCAAUUCAUCCAGUCUUUCAUGUCUCGUUUCUUAAUAAGUGCAUAGGUGACCUAUCAGUUGUAGUCCCUAUUCAGAGCAUUGAUGUUCAGAAUACUCUCUCUUAUGAAGAGAUUCCAGUUGAAAUCUUAGACUUUGAAACCUGUAGAUUGAGGAACAAAGAAGUCCCUCUAGUUAAAGUUCUUUGGCAAAAUUAGUUCGUCGAGGGAGCUACUUGGGAAGAAGAGGCAGACAUGCGUACUAAGUAUCCUCACCUCUUCUUCGCCAACUCAGAUCAAACUCAGGGUAACAGUUCUCCUUAUGAUUACUCAGUUUCAUGUUCAGUGUUCAUCACAAACUUGGUAUGCAGUUUCAUGCUCAUGUUCCCAUUAUAAACUUGGUAUCAAGUACCAUUGCAUAUUCACUCAUGUACUCAUGUAUCAGUUAAGUUAUGCAAUUAUGCAUCAGGCAUGCAUUCUCAUUGUGAGAAACUUAGUUCUUCAGAAAACUCAGUCAUGUAUUUAUGAAUCAGUUACACAUGCAUCAGAUAUGCAUGUUCAGUAUUAUAUGUUCAACUUGAUAGUUAUGUCAGUCAUGAGAUCAUGUUUCAGUUAUUUAUGUUCAGCAUGUAUGUCAGUUGUCUUUUCUCCCCUCUCAGUCAGUCUCAUUUGAGGAUGAAUGUUCUCAAGGGGGAGAUAUUGUAGGAAAUUCAAUAAGCUUUCCAUCAACAUAAGAUUCACCCAAAUCCGAUAAUCGGGUCAUAAGUUAUGAAUAUUUCAAGUUCCCAUCGUAAAACAAUGCCAUAUUAGUCAGUGGCGCACCGUACCACAAGAGGAAAUGACAUUUGGAAAAUUUUAGUAGGGGUCCACGAUUAUUGUGCGUCGUGCCAAGGACCAAAUUCAGAAUUGUCCUUUUCCAGUGUCGCAGCAUAAUUUCCUCCAUGUCAUGCCAAAGUUCCAGGUCACAAAAGAAGGGGCAAUGCGAUGGCUCCGCAUCACGUCAUCCCUCAGUUUCCCAAUUGUCAAAUUCCAGUGACACGGCGCGAUAGCUCCGCGUUGUGCUGGGGGUUCAGUUCAGGAAAAUUUAUUGAAAUUAAAUGACGCAUACAGGGUUAAAAGGAUCAACUUCCCACCCCUAUUUAAGCCCUUUAACACGUGAUUCAGCCACUUUUCACCCAAAAUACACUCUCUUCUCUCCGAAACCUCUCAAGAAGAAACUAGGGUUUUAAUAGAAGAUCUAAUUCCAAGAAAGUUUCUCCAUCAAUCUUCACAAAAUCAUGAACUAAGGUAUGCAUAGUGUUCAUUCAUGGACUCCUUUCGUCCAUGAAGGCCAAGAAUCCCUUUUCUAAAUUCAUGUUUAUGGAUUUUCUUAUGAAUUUCAUGAUUAGGUUGCUCUUGUUCAUAUGGAUAAUGAAAAAUUGAAUUCUACUCCAUGUUGGGUGAUAAAUUCUACGUGAGUUACAUUAUUAUAGAUAUAGAUUCAUGCAAACCUAUGAUUAAACCCUUGAAUGAUGAAAUUAGAAUUUAACCAUGAUGUUUAAUUAUUGUACAAUGAUGUUUACAUGUACCAUGCAUAUAAUAUGUUUGAUUAAAUGCCUAGAUGAAGGAAAAGUGUCUAACUAGCAUGAUACCAUGAAAUCCCCAUGUAUGUACAAGUUAUGCCUAUCACAUGUUUUGAUUAAAUGCUUAUAUAAAUAUAUUAUGGAUUAUGAUGUUAGUGAUAUGUUCAAGUUAUGCUUUGUCUGUUUCCUUCCAUCGAGUCCUGGGGGUACGCGUAUAUAAAAAAUUAACUGUGUACCUAGAGUCAUAUCAUGUUUUCACGAUACUCUCAGUCAAGCUAUGAUCCUUAGACUUUAGACAGUCUUAUGACUUAGGAAAAUAUCGAUGAUCUCAUGACAUCAGUCAGUUGUUAGAUAUCAGUAGUAUUCUGUCAGUCAACGAAAAUUUAGAAAUUCAGCUUAUGUUCGGUUCAGUAAAUCAUGUUUAGUGUCCAUUCAGAUGGGAGUAGAAAUUAGCACCGAGUGAACCCAAGAAUGGAGACACACACAAUUAGCUGAGGGUGUGAUCCUUAGCAGUAAUCCUUGCAUUCUGAAACUAUGUAUCUAUCAUAGGUUGAGAUAUCAACACUGUCGAUAAAGGUUGAUAAGGUGGACAUGCACUGUCAGCUAAGGGCCCCACUAUUCUUGUACACGGGACACUAUCAAAUGAGGGUCACCCACAGCUUGUCCUUAUCAGUGUCGCAGUAUUGACACCCUUCUAAUUGGGGUUACAGAUUAAACUCCAACUCAACCAUAAUGGCAUAUCAGGGGCAUGUCGGUUAGAUUGUACUUCCCACAGUUUUAUGUUACAAAAUUAGGACUGUCAGAUAUUGUCAAUCAGUAUCAGUAAUAGAAAUCAUAUAGUUCUUCAAAUUUUAGGACUACCAGAUAUAGUCAACUUAGAUAUAGUACAAAACUCAUAUAGUUCCAUCAGAUUCAGGACUGACAGAUACAAUCACUCAUGUUAUCAGUUAUAUUUAGAUUCAGUAAUCAUGUUAUCACAGUAUUAGUGUCAGUUGUUAUGUCUUAUGCAUGUAUACUUAUGCUCAUGAUAGUUAGUCAGUUAUUAUUAUUGUUCAUGCAUAUGAACCCUAUGCAUUCAACCUACCUCACAUGCAUACCAGUAUAUUCAAAGUACUAUUGCAUUUGCUCUAUGGUUUCUUAUACCAUAGGUUCAGAGACAUGAGUUUCAAAGCAAUAUUAGAUUCCAGAUAUCUGCAGACAUUGUUAGAAGUGAGUCCUCAUCUUUCGAGGACAUGAUUAUUUCCCUAUUAUCUUAUUAAUUAGUUUAUUAGUUGGAGUUAGUUGGGGACAUAUCCCAUCAGCUCCUUACUCAGUCAGUUCAGUCAGUUAGAGGCUUUCUAGACUAUCAUGUUUUAGACUUUAGUAUGUUCAAAUUUGUUUUGGGUAUAUUACCCCACACAGAUGUUAUAUCAUUCAGAUCAUGUUUAGUAUUGAACCUUAUGGCCUUUCAGUUUAUAUUUCUACAUUAUAAAGUAUUUUAUGCAGUAUAUAAGUACAAAUAUCAGUCAUAGGAUGGCUUAUGGUCCUUUGGGGUCAUGAACACUACAUAGCAUUCCGAGUACUAGAUUUGGGGCGUUACAAAAAAUGUUUGUCGGCUAUCAACCCCCUAAAUUUCAAUAAUUUGCGGGCAAAGAAAAUCCAAUGCAAUUGCACUUUGUUGAGACAUAUAAUAAUGUUGAAACCUACAGUGACUAUCUUGUCAAAAUAUUUGUAUGUUUCCUUAAGGGAAACAUCUUCAAUUGGUACACAGACCUUGAGCCUAAUUCCAUCGAUAGGUAGGAUCAACUAGAGCAUGAGUUCCUGACUCUCUUGUAUAGCACAGGGCAUAAGAUUAUCAUGGUAGUUCUCAUAAAUACUCGACAAAGAAAGGAUGAGACAAUCAUGAACGUUAUCAAUGAAUGGAGAAAUGGUAGCCUAAACUGUAAAGAUAGGCUCAGUGAAAUUCUGCAAUAGAGAUGUGUAACUAAGGAAUGCAAUGAAAGCUUCUCUAUAUCUUGCAAGGUAUUAAACCAAAAUCCUUUAAAGAGUUAGCUACUCGUACUCACGACGUGUAGUUGAGCAUGUCUUCUGCUGAAAUGGAAGUGGUACUUAUACAUGAUCCUCGAAGGGAAAAGGAUAAGUAGGAACCCAAAAGAGGGGCAAAUUUGUCCUAAAAAAUUACAACAAAGAAUCCAUGAAUGUAGAUGUGUCUCCUUUGAAGUUCAUCUCAAAAUAGAGCAAAAUCAUGGAGUGAAUAUGACUUAUUGGGUAUGUCCAAACCAUAAAUUGACUUUGAAGGAUAUGCAAGAAAAGGAAUACCCCUUCCUUGAUUCUUAUGUAUGAAAUUAUCAAUGAACUUCUUAAGCAUAAGCAUACCAACUUACAUGAGCACUUUUUUAGAAAUGGAUGAAGAAACUACUUAUAUGGACAUACUAAGGGAAUAUAGGGAUGUCAUCGCUUGGAGUAAUAAGGAGAUACCUGUAUCAGAUCUUAAAAUAGCAGCCCAUCAAUUGGCAGUUAAGAAUGGUGUUUGUCCUAUUAAGCAAGAACAAAGGCGCUUUAGGACUGAAUUGGUUCCAUUGACUGAAAAUAAAGUUAACAAACUCGUCGAAGGUGGCUUUACUAGUGAAGUUAAAUACCCCACAUGGAUUUAAGUGUUUUUCCUGUGAGGAAAAAUAAUGGAAAAAUUUGAUUUUAUGUCAACUUUAAGGAUCUAAACAAUGUUUGUCAUAAGGAUAAUUUUCCAAUUCCCAUUCUAGAGUUGAUAACUAAUGCUACUAAUGGUUAUGAGUCAAUGUCCUUCAUGGAUGGUUCAUCUGGAUAUAACCAAAUUCAUGCAACACUAAAGGAUGAAGAGCUCAUUGCAUUUCGUACAUCUAAAGGUAUUUAUUACUAUAAGGUGAUGUCUUUUAGUUUGAACAACGCUGACAUAACUUAUUAAAGGGCUAUGCAAAACAUCUUUCAUGACCUACUCCAUUAAAAUGUUGAGUGCUAUGUAGAUGACUUAGAGGUGAAGUAAAGAAAGAGGGCAACCACUUAAAAGACCUAAGAAUGGUGUUUGAGUUGCUCCAAUGAUCUAAACUUAGGAUGAAUCUAUUAAAAUGUGCCUGUGGAGUUAAUUUUUGAAAUUUUCUUGGAUUCAUUAUGUGAUAGUAAGGAAUUAAAAUCUAUCGGGCCAAGGUCGAUACAAUUUUGAAUAUGCCCGAGGUCGAUACAAUUCUAAAGAUGCCCAAGUCUCAAAAUAUUCACCUGGUAAUAAACCUUUAAGGAAGGCUAGCAUAUUUAAGGAGGUUCAUCUCGAACCUGGAUGGAAAAUGUCAACCAUUUAGCCAUCUCAUGAAUGAGGAUGCUUCUUUCAAAACGUACCAAGCUUGUAGUAAGGCCUUUGAAAGUAUCAAAUCAUACUUGAUGAAGCCUCUGGUUCUUGACGUGCCCAUACCUGGUAAACCAUUAAUACUCUAUCUUGCAACACAAGAAAGGUGAGUUGGAGCACUACUGGCCCAAGAAAAUAGUGAAUGCAAAGAAAACUCUCUUUACUAUCUGAGUGGCAUGAUGACACCAAAUGAGCUAAAUUGUUCUCUGAUCGAAAUAUUGUGUUUAGCAUUGUCCUUCUUAAUCUAAAAGAUGAAAUAAUAUUUUUAAGCUCAUGUUGUUUGUGUUGUAUCUAGGGAAAAUAAGAUUAAGUUUGCUAUAUCAAAACUAGUCCUCAGUGAUCUACUUGCAAGGUGGUACCUUUAAUUUCAACAAUUUGAGAUCGUGUACAUUCCCCUAAAAGGCUGUAAAGGGAAAAGUAUUGGUAGAUUUCUUAGCAAACCACCUUGUUAGAAUCUUGUAUUCAAAUUUUAAUAAUGACAAACUAAUGAGUGAAACUUUAUAGGAUAUUGGAAGAUAGAAAGGUAUCUCACCCAAAUAUAUGGAGGAUCAAAAAGACUAACUUAAUAUGGAAGUAAGCAAGAGAGCCAGCUCCAAAAAUGGAAGAACAUCCAAUCAUGAAAAAGAGGAUCAUGGCAUUAAAAUAGUAUGGCAAUAAAAUUAAUAAAAUAUCUUGGAAAUUAAAGAAGGAUCACAAUCCUAGAAUCACGACAGACCAAAUUAAUCAGUACAUAAAAUAAUAGGAAUGAAGGCCACAAUCGUUACAUAAACAUAUCUGAUAUGGACAUGUAUAAUUGUAGAAACUGCACCAUGUAUGGACAUAUAUUAUGGUACCAUCCCUCAAACAAGGAAUCAAUCCAAAUCCUUGAUUGAGAAUAAAUCUCUUAGGUUUCUUGACAAAGAGUAACGGCAGGAAAAAUGUGGACAUUAUAAAAGAAGAGAUAAAAGGCCAAAGCACGUGUGCAACUUCAAGAAGAAAAACUCAAAGUGUCUCAAUCUUAGUCUCAUAAGGAUUUGUAAUCUUUAGCUUACAAUUGUUAUACAAAGAAUAGGAUCGAGUCAACUUUGUGAUAUAAGCCAAAGUUGUUUCAUAAGAUCCGAACACCAAAAUAAGUCUUUGAAACUUAUUUCUCAUCAUUGUACUCAAAGCCAAUAUUGAAAGAUCUAAGGAUACGUUCAAACCCAAGGGGACUGGAAGUAGGAACCACAUUGGUUUUUUGAACCGGUAUACAUCUUAGUGUAUUAUAUUUAUAUUUGACUACUUAUUUACUUAAUUAUUUUAAAUAUAAUCUAUUUGGUGAAAUGUACUGAUCUGCAGGAGAGUCGACUACGAAGAGUAAAUAGUCGACUCACAGAAAAUAUUAAAUUCACUCCCUCUUGAAUUUCAAUUGUUAUGAGAGAAGGUCUUACUAACAAUGUUGCUUAACCAUAAGUGAGUAAAGAUAAAAUGGAAAAUUAUCAAAAUCCUGGUGGUCUUCUCAAGGAUGGCCGCUCCUCCAUAAGACCACCAUACUUUAAUAGACAUAAUUACUCCUACUGGAAAAAUAGGUUCAGAAUCUCUGUCCAAACAAAAGACUUCCAAGCAUGGGUUGUCAUCAAGAAGGGUCCAAAGCUGAUUCUAGGACAUAAAGAGAAGUCAAAGGACAAAGACAAAGAAUGAAGCAAUUCUAACAUAGGAGUCCUUGAAAGCUUUGAAGUAAAUAAAGAACAACAAGAGGUAAUUCAAAAUAAUGCACUUGUUAUAAGUCUACUUUUUUAUGCAGUGAGUGGAGAAGAAUAUGAAAAAAAUAUCAACUUGUGAGACUGAAAAAGAAAUGUGGGACAAAUUGGAGGUAAAUUAUGAAGGAACUACCAAAGUCAAAAAGUAAAAAAUUAUUGCCUUGGUCAAUAAAUACGAGCUAUUCAAAAUGGAAGAAAAUGAGGACAUUGAAAUUUUUUUUGCCAGAUUCAGUAAGAUCAUAUACGAACUGAAAUCACUGGGGAUGAUCUAUCCACAUAGCCUGUAAGUCCUGAAGCUGGUCCAAAGUCUCCCAAUGAUUUAAAAAACCAAGGAUGCCAUUUUGGAAGAUAGAGAUCUACACAACAUGACAUAUGACAAACUAUGAGGUAACCUUAUUACAUAUGAGAAAAAUUAUAUUAAUAGGUACCACAAGGAGAAAAAAAAGAAACCAGUAGCCUUCAACGUUUCUCCAACUGAAGAAGAGUACGUUCUAGAAGAUGCUAAUAGCGAAGGAAUGACCCUAAUCAAUUAUGGAGUAAGGCAGAUCAUAAGACAGAGAUAGCAAAUAUUCUAAGGAGCCAAAAAUAAUGACUCCAUAAGAAACGAUGAUCGCUAUUACCAGUGCAGAAGUCAUGUCCACUUAAAACAAAAUUGUCCAGAGUUGAGAAGAUGAUCAUCCAGAAAGAAUCAAAACUUUGGAGCCUGGAGUGAUGAAAAUGAAACUGAAGAAGAAGUAGAUGCUGAAAAUAUAUGCUUUAUGGCAAUAGGUGAAUCUAGCAAGGUAAUACUACAUGAUUGUCACAACUGUAAUACUCUUGAAUCUAACUUAGAUAUGAUAACUAAAGAGCUUUAAAAGGUUAUAGAUAAAUACAACAAACUCGGUUAAGAGAAGAAAAGUUAUGAAGCUCGAUGUAAAUAAAAACUCAAAGAGGAACAAAGAAGUUAUCAGAUAGAAAUCAAUGUAUAUCAAAUCAAAAUUGACUUGCUUCACGAAGAUCUUGAUGACAUAAAAUUUUAGUUAAACAACUUGAGGAAAACUCCAAGCCACAAUUUCAUAUGAUCAAAUUCUUUAAAAAAUAAUUUAAGUUCCUCAUUAGGGUCAUUUAAACCAAAUAAGGCCUACUUCUUCUCUUGAGGACCCAUCUAUUUUAUCUGUGGAUAGAGACAGCACAAAACCUAUAGCUGCACGUAAUAGACCUAAAAAUGUGUAGGUUUGGAAGCCCAAAGGAAACAUAUCAACCAGUAAGGACCCAAGACUACUUUGGUACCUAAACAGAAUUAUUCUUCUUAUUUUGCAGGAAUAUGUCUGCAAAAACUAACAAAAAAGAAAUAUGGGAUCCUGAUAGCAGAUGUUCCAGAUACAUGCACAACAUAAAAUAUGACAAAGUACGAGGUAUCCUUAUUACAUAUGAGAAAAAAUAUAUUAACAGGUACCAAAAGGAGGAAAAGAAAAAAUUAGUAGCCUUCAACAUUGUUCCAACUGAAGAAGAGUAUUUUCUGGAAGAUGCUAAUAGCGAAGGGAUGACACUCAUCAAGCAUGGAGUAAGGCAGAUCAUGAGACAGAGAUAGCAAAGAUCCCAAGGAGCUAAAAAUAAAUACUCCAUAAGAAACGAUGAUUACUAGUAUCACUAUAGAAGUCCUAUCCAUUUCAAAUAAAAUUGUCUAGAGUUGAGAAGAUGAUCAUCUAGAAAGAAUCAAAACUUUGGUGUCUUGAGUGAUAAAAAUAAAAUUGAAGAAAAAGUAGAGGCUACUAAUAUCUACUUUAUGGCAAUAGGUGAAUCUAGUGAGGUAAGACUACAUGAUUGUCACAAUGUAAUACUCUUGAAUCUAACUUAGAUAUGAUAACUGAAGAGCUUCAACAAUUUAUAGAUGAAUAUAACAAACUUGCUCAAUAGAAGAAAAGUUGUAAAGCUCGAUGUAAACAAAAACUUGAAGAGGAACAAAGAAGUUAUCAGAUAGAAAUCGAAGUAUGUCAAAUCAAAAUUGACUUGCUUCACCAAUAUAUUGAUGACAUAAAAUUUUAGUUAAACAGCUUGAGGAAAUCUCCAAGCCAUAGUUUCAUAAGAUCAAAUUUCUUCAAAAACAAUUUACAUUCCUCAUUAGGGUCAAUUAAAUCAUAUAACGCCUCCUUCUCCUCUUGAGAACCCAUCUAUUUUAUAUAUGGAUAGAGAGGGCACAAAACCUAUAACUAUAGGUAUAAGCCUAAAAAUAAAUGUGUAUAGAAGCCCAAAGGAAGCACAUCUAAUACGUAAGGAUCCAAAACAAAUUAGGUACCUAAAUAGAAUUAAUCUUCUUAUUUCCUAGGAAUAUAUCAGUAAAACCCAUUAAAAAAAAAUAUGGGAUCCUAAUGGCAGAUGAUCCAAAUACAUGCACAACAUAACAUAUGACAAACUACAAGGUAACCUUAUUACAUAUGAGAAAAAUUAUAUUAACAGGUACCACAAAGAGGAAAAAAAGAAACCAGUAGCUUUCAACGUUGCUCUAAUUGAAGAAGAGUACUUUUUGGAAGAUGCUAAUAGUGAAGGGAUGGCUCUCAUCAACCAUGGAGUAUGGCAUAUCAUGAGACAGAGCUAGCAAAGAUCCUAAGGAGCUAAAAAUAAUGACUCCUCAAGAAACAAUGAUUGCAAUUAUCACUAUAGAAGUCCUGUCCACUUCAAACAAAACUGUCCAGAGUAGAGAAGAUAAACAUGUAGAAAGAAUCAAAACUUUGGAUCCUAGAGUGAUGAAAAUGAAACUGAAGAAAACUUAGAGGCUGCCAAUAUCUGCUUUAUGGCAAUAGGUGAUUCUAGUGAGGUAGGACUACAUAAUUGUUACAACUGUAAUACUCUAGAAUCUAACUUAGAUAUGAUAACUAAAGAGUUUCAAAAAGUUAUAGAUGAAUAUAACAAACUCGCUCAAGAGGAAAAAAAUUAUGAAGCUCGAUGUAAACAAAAACUCAAAGAGGAACAAAGAAGUUAUUAGAUUGAAAUUAAAGUAUGUCAAAUCAAAAUUGACUUGCUUCACAAAGAUCUUGAUGACAUAAAAUUUUAGUUAAACAACUUGAGGAAAUCUCCAACCCAUAGUUUCAUAAUAUCAAAUUCCUUCAAAAAUAAUUUAAGUUCUUCAUUAGGGUCGUUUAAAUCAGAUAAGGCCUCUUUCUCCUUUUGAGGACCCAUCUAUUUUAUUUGUGGAUAGAGAGGGCAUAAAACCUAUAGCUAUAAGUAUAAUCCUAAAAUUUUGUGGGUUUGGAAGCCCAAAGGAAGCACAUCUAACCCGUAAGGACCUAAGAUUACUUGGGUACCUAAACAAAAUUAAUCUUCUUAUUUUUAGAGAAAUAUGUCCGCACAAAACCAUUAAAAAGAAAUAUGGGAUCCUGAUGGUAUAUGUUCUAGAUACAUGACCAAAAAGAAAAUCUAUUCUUUUGAAAGAAAAUAGGUGGAGGAUCAGUCAAAAGCUAUGACAACGCUAGAAACAAUGCUAUCAAAUUUGCUCAAUAAAGCUCAGCCUCUCAUGUAAAUCUGGUGAAGUAUAUCUGAUACUCUAUCUCUAGUGUAACUCACUUAGCAUCAGUCAGAUAUGUGAUGCUUAGUUCAUAAUCUCCUCUAAGCUAAAAGAUUAUCCUUCAAACCUGUCAAAAAUAGCAUGUCUCUCAUCUUUGAAUGUAAAGAAUGGUGUGGUGGAGCGAAAGAACUAGUCAUUUUAGGAAUGGAUCUCUAUAUUAUAAUGUAAUCUCCUAUAUCACUAUUGAGUAGAAGCAAUGUCUUGUCCACAACAAUGGUAAGAAUAUAUCAUGAAGAGUUUCAUCUACGAAGUGACAAAGUAAUGUAAAUUCUAGAGGAAAUGCUCACAAUACCUCAGAACCAUCAUGAAACAAAGUCAAAUAUAACCUCUCCAGAGUCGACUUCUACAUCUAAAAUGGCAAAACUGCAUGUUCCAAGAAAUUAAGAAAAGAAUUAACAUCUUUAACCCUUAAAAACCCAGACGACUAGGUACAUUAUGAGAAGGUAUUGAACAUAAUAAAACCCUUUCCCUUAUGGCAAGGUUAGAAUCUAUUCUAGCGAUUAAUACUUUCAAAUGUUUUGAGUCCUUUCAAAUGAAUGUCAAAAGCACUAUGGUCUCAAACACUCUGCAAAAGGUUGUUUCUAACUUCUUUACUAGACAAUUUUACCUUGAUGAUAUUAUUCUUGAUAAUCCUAACCUUUCUUUGUAUGAGAAUUCUAUUUUGCUAUCCUGGUGAAAGUUUUUUUUGGCCUUAUGGGAAAAGUCCCAAGUCCUUGACACAACUUAAAACAAACUUUAGUUGACUCGUUAACAACUGGAGCAGUAUACACAGUUGUUGGGAGUUGUUGUACUUAAAUUCUAGAAUAAUGCAUCAACUACUUGAUUUUAAUUUGUCUUUUGAAUUUGUUCCCGUGUGACAAUACUAGUGCCAUUAGUCUAUCUAAAUGUAUUGUGCAUCAUUCUAGGGCAAAGAAUAUUGACAUCAAGCAUUAUUUUAUUUGUGAUCAUGUAUAAAAUGGAAAUUUUUCAUUAAAAUUUGUUAACUCCAAAAAUUAGCUGGUAGAUAUUUUUACAAAACUAUUAAUGGAAGAAAGAUUUUGUUUUCUUAGAAAAAAAUUUGGCAUUCUCAGCCUUAAUGAUUUGUGAGUCAUAUUUUUUAACACAAAUCUUUUACGUAGUCCGACUUUACCUAUUUUACCAAAAAAAAAAA
rnacentral:lncRNA from 1 species